rnacentral:lncRNA from 1 species
CUUAGCGGUUCGAAGGACAGUUCCACCUGCAUAGCACCCUUGAUGGUACAACAUCACUCUUCUGACAGAUGGUUCGAGGCCUAAGAGAUUAGCGAGUUUAUAAUCUGCACCAGGCAUUUCUACACCUGAGGUGGUACAAAAUACAAGGUGGGUGAUCUUCGAUUUAGGCUGACCCCACUCUUUAAGAGCCUUCAAUGCUGCUUCCUUACCGAGCUUGGGUACCUCAGCAGUGAUAAUCUCUUGGCGUAUGUUAAGAGAUGGAGCCAUAUAAGCACCAAUGUUUGGGUGCUCCUCAAGCAUUUCUUCGGUCAAAUGAAUGUAACGCUUCUUGAUCAUGGAUUUGUCACCUAUAAAUGAAAUAACAUGAACACAUUAGUUUUACCAAUCAACAAGUGAUAUAGAAUAUCGUUGAAUAUGAUCGACAUGCAUUUAACAUUGAAGCAAGUAUAAAAGGUUAUUCUUAAUUAUAGCUGGCAAUGAGACAUGAUUCAAAGAACAGCUCUUCAAGCCAUUACAGUCAGAUGAAAUGAAUAUUAGUUACUGAAGUAAAAUAAUUUUCAAGUUUUCUGUAGUAUUUUAUCUAAAAGCUAUACUCUAGAAAGAUUGCAACAUUCAUUCACUUGGAGGUGAGCCUCACCUAGUGUCAGUCACAUAUAUACAGAACUGUUAUGCAUGUAAGAAAUUAAUGCAUGAAUAUACUUACAUAUGCGAUUGAACUUCUUCUUCAACGCAGUCAUGUGCUCGCUCUUAGUGACCCUGAAAUAGUAAUCAGCAUAAUCAGACUGGUAGACACAGUGGUCGGGGGUAGCUGUGCCAAUGGCUAGGAUGGUGGCCGGACCCUUGGCACGUUGAGCGUUUCUAAUUUCCUCGACUGAAGCCAUUGAUCCCAGCUACGUACUCAAAUUAAAGCCUAAGAUUAAGUUGAGGAAGGAAAGAGAACUCAGUGUGCACAAGUGCUUGGAGUUGGCUUGAGAAAGCUCGGUGUGAGUGUUGGCCUUUUAUAACCUGUGUUUCACCAACUCUCAUCCAUUGGUAGUCUUUGAAUUAUCAGUUGGCGUCAAAGUUUGUGUGCGUGAGUUUUUUUCCUGGUGGGGUUGAUUUUCAGACAUGUAUGCAUGCGUUAAUGUAUUUGUGUUGUUUUCUGUUCUUCACCUACCCAUAGGAAGGAGAAAGCAUUCAAUCCGGUCACAUUUGUUAUAUAUAGAGAUAAGGACUUUUCCAGCCUCCUGGAAAUUAAUGCAUUGUUCAUUUGACUUUUCCAUGUGUGGGAAGCUGCUACCAACUUUCUUAUUGAAGAAUUCAUCAAAGUCAUUCAAAUUUGGAUUUCUAAAUUUGAAAUAACCUCAACAACCCAAUAAUUAAUGCAUUAUUUUUCUUUUGCAGGAUUACAUCACAUGUUAUUUAACUUAUUCAAUAAGUAAUUCAACAAAUAUCUCAUUUUUAUUUAACCUAUUUCGUCAUCUAACUUGCUAAGAACUCGUUUGAUUCUCUCUCUCACACAUUGAAGAAUUCAUCAAAGUCAUUUAAAUUUGGAUUUCUAAAUUUGAAAUAACUUCAACAACCCAAUACCUAAUGCAUUAUUUUUCUUUUUCAGGAUUACAUCACAUUUCAUUUUACUUAUUCAAAAGUAAUUCAACAAAUAUCUCAUUUUUAUUUAACCUAUUUUGUCAUUUAGUGAUUGACUUUUCAAUUGACACCAACCUUUAAUGCUCCUUCAAUAAAACUCUUUAAUUACUAUGUUGCCCUUUUGAGUUUCCAUCAUUCUUUCAGUUGACAACAAUUCAUUCCCCAUAUAUAGGCUAUUUUUGUAAAAUGUUUCUUUCCAAAAAGGCACUAUAAAGUCCUUAUAAAACAUUAAAUUCCUUUUAUCUAUACAAUAUAUAAAAUUACAAUGUGUCUUUUUUUCAAAAAUAACUUUAUUAUUUCGAUUUUAUGCGCUUAUAUCAUAUCUUUAUUAUAUGUAAUUAAUUCAAAUAAUGUUUAUUUUUUCUAAGGACAAUUUACUCUUUAUAAAAAUUAUUAUAAUGUAAUUAAAAUAAUUUUAAUAUGUUCAUAAAAGAUUUGGAUAAAAAAAAUCCUCUUUUAAAAAAAUUAUAAUAAUUUAGGUUUUUAAUACAAAGUGUUUUGACAUUUUUUUCCCAAAAAUAGUCUUAUCAUUUCUAUUAUAUGCGCUUAUAUCCUAUCAUUAUUAUUAUAUGUAAUUAAUUCAUGUAAUGUUUAUUUUUCGAAGGACAACCUACUCUUUAUAAAAAUUAUUAUAAUGAAAUUAAAAUAAUUUUAAUAUCUUCAUAAAAAAACUUAAAUUAGAUAAAGAUCCUCUUUAAAAAUUUUAAAAUGAUGAUAAUUUAGGUUUUUAUUAUUAAUUUAUUGAAUUAAAAAAUUUAGAUAAAAUUAAAGUUACAUAAAUACAAAAUAAUAUUUUUUUAGAAUCCGAAUUACACAUUUUUUCUAUUACAAAUAAUAAAAUAAAUUCAAUCUCCCUUUAUAAUAGACAUAGGUGAUUAAGUUGAACCAAAUAAAUUGCUUCUCUUCCAUAAUUUAUUUUAUUUUUCCAAUUGUAUUUAGGCGUUGUUAUUUUUUCAUUCUAAAGUUUAUUAUAAAAUUGAUCUCCUAUUGCGGACAUAGGCAAUUAGGUCAAACCAUGUAAAUAUUUUAUCUUCUCUAAUUUAUUUUAUUUUUCCUAUUGUAUUUGAGUGUUGUGAUUUUCCUAACAACUUUGCCUAUCUUUCUUAGCUUUCUAUUAUCUUUUUUUACCUCUCUUUUAAAAUCCUAUGAAAAAAACCAUAUAUUAAUAAAGUCUUAUAGAUUAACCCUUAAUGAUAUGUUUUUGAAUCCUUGUCAAACUUAAAAAGCCAAUUUACUCAAACAUAAACUCUACAAAUAUUGAUUUUCCUUAAAUUAAAAAAUAAAUAAUUUGAGUCAAAUUUACCAACAAUCUCCACCUUGACUCAAGUUCUCUCAUUCUACAUGUAAGGUUUUCUUUUUUUGAUACCCACCUUUACACCCCCCUAUGAGUAAAACUAUCAGCUUGAGAUGCAUAUAUUGCUAGUUCACCCAUUGUCCCAUCGUAUGAUUUUUGUGAGUUUUAGACCCAUUAGGUCCAAGGCCUUUCUCAUAGCCUAAAACCAAUUAUUCUAUGCUAUUUUGUUUGUGGGGCAAAAAUAAGUUUGCAUACUUAAUAAGCUUUGUGAUUCGUACAUAAAAAGGAUGGAUUUAACUAGUAUUCAAAAGGAAAUUGUUUUGAUAUUGAAUUGGUGUAAAAAUAUAUUCAUAAACACCGAGAAAAUGUGGCUUCCUUGUUCUAUUCCUUUCGUUUGACCUAAAUGAAGUUAGUAACAUAAAAUAAACUAGAGAAGAAAAUAUUUACAUGGUUUGGCCUAAUUGCUUAUAUCCACUACACAGAGAGGUCAAAUUUAUUAAUAAACUUCAUAAAUACAAACUCAAACUCUCUCAACCUCCCUUUACUAUAAACCUAAUACACUCUUUGCCUAACUUUCUUAACACUUUGUUAACGUUUUCACUCCCUCUUGAAAUCAUAUGCAAAACCACAUAUUUAUAGAGCUUUAUGGUUCAAACCUAAAUCAAUAGUUUCAUAAUCCUAGUCAAACUUAAAAAGGUAAUUUAUUAAAAUACAAACUCUAUAAAUAUUGUCUUUCCUAAAAAUAAAGAAUAAAUUAUUUGAGGUAACUUCCAAAAACCUCAAUAUUGACUCAAAUUCUUUCAAUCUUACACAAUUAAUGAGAAUAAACAUGUAUCAAGUUCAAUUUUUCGUCAAACUAUUUUUCUCUUUUUUGAUAACUUUAUUCCUUUUGCAAUUAGUAUCAUCCUUAUGCUAAUGAGUACUCUUAUUUGAAAAUAGAAUCUUGAUUAUCUUGUUCCACUUUUCUACUUUAACAACUUCUUUAACACUAGGAAAAUACUCUCUAUGGUGUGGCUUCACCCUCAUAGCUUCACUUAAAAUUGUCUUCUCAAUUAAGGUGUAUAAAUAUUUCACAUUUUUCUUUUGCACUGUUAGGAUUGAGACCAAAAAAAACAUGAUAUGAUAUAAUAGAUUGAGAUUCAUUUAUAAAUUUUUUUAUCUAUGUUUCUUGGUUUUUCAUUUAUUAUCAUAUUUGCAUUAAUUAGUUACUAAUUUGAGUAUACAUACCCACAUCACUUGUAUUGUACAUAGCUUGGGAGCAUUAGAAGUUACAUAGAAAAUCCAAGUCAUGGGGUCCUUACAAAGUGAUGAGUUGUCCAUAGUUGAUCAAUGGAUUUGGGCAAUUUAUUUGAGACUAUAUUGCACUACCUCCUAAUUGGGGGGAUGACUUGUUUUGGUCAUCGGGAUGGUUUUCCCAUGGUAAAUGCACUAUUAUAUGUAAUGCACACUGGACAAGACUUAUGAGGAAUCAUGAUCUAAGUCAUGGGUUCCUUGAAAAGUGAUGAGUUGUCUAUAGUGUAUUAAUGGAUUUGGGCAAUCUAUUUGAAACUGUAGUGCAUUAUCUCUUAAUUGGGGAGAUGACUUGUACUGGUCAUCGGGAUGGUUUUCCCAUGGCGAGUGCACUAUUGUAUGUGAUGUACAUUGUACAAGACUUAUGGUAAAUCAUGACGUAAGGCUAAUAGUUAUCAUGAUUCACUUGUUAGGAUUGAGCCUUUAAAAGCAAGAAAUAAUGUAACAAAGUAACACUUUACUAUCCCUAGGUUAUCCUUUUUAUGCAUUGACAGUGAUUUGAACAUUCAACUCAUAUCUUUUACACUGUACAUGACUUGGGUGUAUUAGGAGUUGUAUAAAGGAUACAAGUCAUUAGAUUCAUGUAAAUAGAUAAGUUGUCCAUAGUCAAUUUAUGGAUUUUGGCAAUCCAAUAGAGACUGUAGUGCAUUACCUCCUAAUUUGAGAGAUGGUUUAUCUUAACCAUCAAAACUAAUUUCCCAUAGUGAGUGCACUAGUGUAUACUGGACAAGACAUAUGAUGAAUCAUGACAUAAGACUAUCAAUUGUCAUGAUUUACCAAGCUGCUAUAUUGUGUAGGCUCUCAACCUUGAGAGGAUAUUGAACCUAUGUCAAAAUCAACAAGAGGCUUUAACUUAUGAGUAAGAUGCUAAAGUAGUCAUAUAUCCUUAUAGAUUGAGUUAUUCUUGAUUGAGGCUAGUGGUAAUAGGUAUUUUCAAUAAAUGUAUCAUGAUAUCUCAUGAAAUUGACGCAAUGUGUCUCCUUGGAUGAUCCAAAGGACAUAUGAUCAUGAAAUCUAUAACAUCGUAGUAAUUCCUUAAGUGGAAUUUGACGUAUGCUCUUUAUGGGUUAGAGUAUGUCCAUUGAUCAUAUAAUAAUCAGAUUUUUUAUUUAAGGAUUAUAAAGAUAAUCUUGAUAGGUGAUAAAACUACCUUAUUAGAUUACAUAUACUAAUUCAUGAGGAGUCAACAUGCAGUGGAUAGUAGGUCAUGGACCCAAGCUUUGUGUCAUUGUUAUUUACGUAAGGUACUAGAAUACAGUUAGUUCUCUUUAGUGGAAUGUUGAAUCAACUUCAAAAUUAGAUUUUGAGGAAGCCAAUACUCCUAUGGGUCCUAAUGAUCCCCACUCUGAGCUCAUAUAUCAUGAUGACACAAUUUAUGAAGGUUGGAGCUCUAAGUUCACUCUUAUACAUAAGAGUGUUUUAGUAAUUAUGCAAGGUAACACAAAGGAUAGUGAAAAAGGUCUCUAGAUUGGUCUAAUAGAUUAAUUAGAAAGCCCUAUGUGGUUAGUUAAUAAAUUAGGACUUGUUUUGGAUUGGAUUAAGUGACUCAAUCCUCAAUGGGCACAAGUCACUUAAGCCUAGUGAGUAACCCUAUAAAUACCUUUUGAGGGAUUAUAGUUUCCUAAUGACUUUCAAUUAGUCAUUUUCCACCUCCAAAGAGAGAGAGAGAGAGAGAGAGAGAGAGAUGGUUUAUGAGAGUUGGAUUGAUUAUAGGUUCACUCUUAUGUAUAAGUGACCUAAGCUUAUAUGGUUUAACUCACUUAAGCUUAGUAGCGAAACCAUAUAAAUAUCCCCUUAGGGGUUAAGGUUUCAUAAUCACUUUUCAAAAAGUCAUCUUUCAUUUUUAGAGAAAGAGAGAGAGGUACGAGACCUUCAAAGUUUUCAAGCAUCCUCUUCACUACAUAGAUUUGAUUUGGGAACAUCCAGAUCUAGACAAAGUUUUCUAAAGCUUUUUUAUUCUAUAUCCUUAUAUUAUUAUGAUUAUUAUUUAUUUUUUGCUUCAUUCCUAGGAUAUAAAAGCCCUAGGGAAAAUUUCAUAUACUUAACCUGAGUCUGGGUUAGGGUUAAAAAUGAUAAAGAGUUUCCUACAAUUGGUAUUAGAGCCUUAGGUUAGGAAAAAAACAUGAUAUAACCUUUCUAGGAUAUGCUAAUGGUUGUUUUGCCUGGAUUUUUGUUUAUCCUAUGGCCUUAAGGAUUCUUCUUAAAGAAAAAUAAAUUUCAUGAGAAGUCUUUUCCAUUGUUAUUUUUCUAAAACUGGUUAUUAAAAGUCAUAUUGUUAUUUCUUUUUUAGACUAUCCACUUGGUUUGGAUAGGUGGUUCUCUAAACUCUUCUCCCCAAGAGAAAGAGAAUGGCACAUAUAGCGAUGGUGGUCCUGCUGGCUCUUUUCUCUGGAGAGAAGGACUAAACUACCAAGUUUUUUAGGCUUUCCCUCUUAAGAGAAUAAAGACUUUUGUGGAUAUGGAUAGUCCAAGGAUAAAUGAAUAAGAGAGCAUUUCUUUUGGCAUAGGCGUCCUAGUUUAAGAAAUAAAAAAUGGUUUCAAAAAGUCUCAUGAUAAAGAGUUUAUUUUAAUAAAGGUUACCAAAAUUGAGAUGGAACCUAGGAUGGCGUUGUAAUGAUGGGAGUGUAAACUGAGUAAAACCUAGCAUGGUGUCAAAAUGACGAGCAUCCAAAGAAACUAAGGAUAAACUAAGAUAAAAACUAGGAUGAUGUCGAAAUGACAAGAGUCCAAAGUAGCUAAGAAUAAGCUCAUAUAGAUCUUAGGAUAACGUUGUAAUGAUGAGAAUUCAAAGGAACUAAGGAUAAACUGAGAUAAAACCGAGGAUGACAUUGUAAUCAUGGGAGUCCAAAGGAGCUAAGCAUACACUUAGAUAGAACCUAGGAUGACAUUGCAAUCAUGAAUUCAAAGGAACUAUGGAUAAACUAAGAUCGAACCUAUGAUGAUCUCGCAAUGGUGAGAAUGCAAGGUAACCAAGGAAAAAUUGAGAUAGAUCAACCUAGGAUGAUGUCACAAUGAUAGGAGUCCAAAUGAACUAAGGACAAAUUGAGAUAGAGUCUAGGAUGACAUGGAAAUGAUGGGAGUCCAAAGGAGCUAAGAAUAAACUUAGAUAGAACUAGGAUGAAGUCAUAAUGACAGGCAUCCAAAGGAAUUAACCAUAAACUGAGAUAAAGCCUAGGAUGACAUCAUAAAAAGAACAUAAGAUGGUGUCACAAUGAUAGGAAUACAAAGGAAAUAAGGAUAAAUUGAGAUAAAACCUAAGAUAACAUCGUAAUAAUAAGAGUUUAAAGGAACUAAGCAUAAAUAAAGAUAGAACAUAGGAUGGUGUCACAAUGACGGGAAUCGAAAGGAGCUAAGUAUAAACUUAGAUAGAACCUAGGAUGAUGUUGCAAUGACAAGAAUCCAAAGGAACUAAGGAUAAACUAAGAAAGAACCUAGGAUUGCGUCACAAUGACAAGAGUCCAAAGGAGCUAAGAAUAAACUUAGGUAGAACCUAGGAUGAUGUGGUAAUGACGAGAGUGAAAAGGAAUUAAGGAUAAACUAAUAUAGAUCCUAGGAUCGUGUCGCAACGACAAGAAUCCAAGGGAAGCAAGGAUAAAUUGAGAUAGAAUCUAGAAUGGUAUCGUAAUGAUCGAAAUAUAAGGAAACUAAAGAUAAAUAGGGAUUGAAUAUAUUUUAACAUUGUUAAAGCAUUUUACCGUAAUUUUUAAAUAUAAUUAUGAAAAAAAAAACUUUUUUAAAAAAAGAUUACUAAAAGAAAAAUGUUAAUUUCACUGACAUUUAUCUAAUUAUUAAAUGUCAAGAAUCAUAUGAAUAUAUGAGAAAAAUGAUAAAAAAAAAAAAAGAGUAAUAAUAAUAAAUGUAAUUACCGUUAUUACUCAAAUUUAUGAUUAAAAGUGUUGCGGAUUAUAAAAUUUUUAAAACAUUUAUUUAGUAAAUCUAAGAGUAAAUUUAUUGGAAGAUCUAAAAUUCAAUUCACUAUUUUUGUCAAAAAUCUAGGUCUAAUUUACAGUCACAAAAUUAUCCUAAAGUCUCACCUGCAGCCAUAGCCCUACCACAGGAAAGCUUUUUUUAAAAAAAAUAAAAAAAUAAACUCCUCCUCAUUCCAAAUAAAAUAAAUCUUUAGUGAUAUUCACAGGCCCCUCAAGGGUACAGCAGGAGCCGGCAUGAACCAGAUUCCACGUCCACCUUAUUCUUCUAAUCCAAGCCAACCAAUCAAGUCCAGCCAUGUUAUCCACCCACCAACCUUCGCACUUGGCAACUGUUGCCAAGUUAUCCACUGCUCUUACAUGGGCCCACUUCUCAAGCGUGUCUAUCACCUGUACCUUACACGUUAUCUUUGCUGAGAUGGCAGACGACGUGAUCUUCGCAUAUUAUAAUAAUGGCGGAUUGUGGAUGGCGGCGGAGACUUGUUCAAUGAUCUCAUGCUGAUUUUGAAUGCUCUUUUUGGUGGAGGGUGAAAGUAACAAAUUCAGCACCAGCCGCCAGCUGCAAGCCCGAUCGUCCAUUUCGUCUUUUAAGGAAAUUAAUUCAUCAACUUUAAGAAUUUUUGUGUAGAUUUUAAACUCAUGAGAAGGACACAUUUCUGUAAUUACAGCAUUAUUUUAAUCUAAGUUCGGUAUAGGUAUUAAUUAAUAAACAAAAUGUCUUUAGCGGAAGUUUAGAUAAAAUUAUGGUUUUGGUCUUAAUUAUAAAGCAAAAUUUGAAUAUUUUUUUUUAAUCAAGAAGUUGUCGGAUUUUUGUAUUCUGAAAUUUGUUUGUUUAUUUGUUUUAUUUAUAAAAAAAUUGUCAUAUUUUUGUAAUAUUAAUAUAGAAUUAGUCUUGCAUAUGUCGAGUCUAAUAGGACUUAUGCAAGUUAAUAUUUUUCUUACAGCAUGUUCAGGUAAGGGUGAUAGUGGAGCAGUAGACGUCACCCAUGUUGUGGUGGUGGCUAUCUUCUUUAACUUAUACGAACUAUAGAGUACCCCACCUGGUUUCCACUCAUUUUACAUAUUUUUCAAAUCAAUAGCAUAAAUUGAAAAUUUUCUUGUAUGCUUAAAAAAAAAAACUCAGAUAUAUUCUUCCUUCCUUUUGAUAACAUACACAAGAAUAAACAAUGAUUUUGACUUGAGGUCUUUGAGGAGGUCCUCCAACAAUAGUAAAAUAACAAUUCAAUAUAUUUACUACCUUUUUAUUUGAUUAAUAAAACAUGACUCAUGAAUAACUUUUCCCAUCAUUUCACCUAGUUUGAAUCCGUACCAACGCUAUGGAUCACAACGGUCUCAAUGGUUAGGCCCGGCCCAAAGCCAAACAAGACACCCCAAUCCAAUCCUUCACCUGUCGUCAUUUUGCCUUCCUUGAGCGAUUUCUUUCUCAUCUCAUCCAAAAUAAAUAGGACACAUGCACUUGACAUGUUCCCAUAUUCACUUAGAAUAUGCCUUGUUGCUUUGAGUUUCUGUUUAUCUAAACCGAGUUUUGCUUCAACUGCGUCAAGAAUAGCUGGGCCACCUGGAUGAGCAAUCCAAAAUAAGGAAUUCCAAUCACUAAUACCAAUUGGGUCAAAAGCCUUAGUCAAACAAUUCUCUAUGUUUUCAGAGAUCAAGGUAGGCACAUUAGGCCACAAAUGAAAGGUGAGACCCACUUCACGUAAGUUGCCUGCAAUAGCACCUGCUGAAUUAGGAAUAAAUGUUUGGGCUGCUGAAACAAGUUGAAAGAGUGGUCGUUCAAUCGAGCUAUCUGGAUCGGAUCCAAUGAUUACAGCUGCAGACCCAUCACCGAAAAGGGCUUGGCCAACUAAAGAGUCCAAAGCAUCUUCGGAAGGACCACGAAAUGUAACAACAGUGAUCUCUGAGCACACCACAAGAACUCGUGCUCCUGCAUUAUUCUCUGCAAGAUCCUUAGCGGUUCGAAGGACAGUUCCACCUGCAUAGCACCCUUGAUGGUACAACAUCACUCUUCUGACAGAUGGUUCGAGCCCUAAAAGAUUAGCGAGUUUAUAAUCUGCACCAGGCAUUUCUACACCUGAGGUUGUACAAAAUACAAGGUGGGUGAUCUUCGAUUUAGGUUGACCCCACUCUUUAAGAGCCUUCAAUGCUGCUUCCUUACCAAGCUUGGGUACCUCAGCAGUGAUAAUCUCUUGGCGUAUGUUAAGAGAUGGAGCCAUAUAAGCACCAAUGUUUGGGUGCUCUUCAAGCAUUUCUUCGGUCAAAUGAAUGUAACGCUUCUUGAUCAUGGAUUUGUCACCUGUAUAUAAAUUAAAUAACAGUAAUAUGUAAGCUCAAGGCACACUAGUGAAACAAAAUCAAUUCAAUGGGUAGAUUGAUUGUUCAAGAUGAUCAAACAUUGUUCAACUGAGUGUAAAAAGAUUCAUCUUAAUACAAUAUAAAAGCUUAUUUUUUAUUACAUCAAUUAAUAACGUGAUCCCAUGCGUUAUACUAUGUGAUUCAAAGAGCACCUGCUCAUACCAUCACUCACAGAUGCACUGUAUUAAUUUAAAAUGAGUACACAGAAAGCUUGAAAAUGAUGUUUCAGUGGUCGUAGGGGAAUCAUAUGUAUAUGAAGGAUGUUAAAAUUAUACUUACAAAUGCGGUUGAACUUCUUCUUGAGCUCGGUCAUGUGCUCGCUUUUAGUGACCCGGAAAUAGUAAUCAGCGAAAUCAGACUGGUACAGACAGUUGUCCGGGGUAGCUGUGCCAAUGGCUAGAACGGUGGCCGGACCCUUGGCACGCUGAGCAUUUCUAAUUUCCUCCACAGACGCCAUUGAUAGUGUGUGAUGACUACUGAAAUGGAAGCUUCAAAGUUGAAGAAGGAAAGAGAAAUGAAAUUUUAGGAGCACAAGUGCUUGGAGCUGUCUGGCCAAAGUUGUGUGUUGAGGUUGGUAUUUAUAAUCACCACAAAUGCUGUCUCACCAACUCUCAUCCACUUCCAUGUAGGUAGGCUUGCAUUUGAAUAAUCCGGUGCCAUGGGGUUUGAUUUCCAUCUUGGUAGGCUUCGGUUUUCAUUCUUUAUUUUAUUUUUCUGUCUUUCUUCUUCCUCUAAAGCUCUUUUGGUCUUCUAAACCCACGUAAGGCGGUUGGAAGCUUACCCUUUUUGACUCCAAGUUGGUAGCAUCACUUUCAUAUCCCCCGAGUACUAUUUGACAAAAGACCCAAAAUUUUCACGUGCUGGGCCAGCUGCUGCCGGCUGGACCAAGCCGAUGAUCAAUAUUAAUGCAGAACGUUAGGAAACCUGUAAUAUUUCAAGUCAUAAAUAUAGAUGUUGAAUAAAUAAAUUUAUUGUUUAACAACAAUGAAGGCAAAAAUUAGUUACUAUUAACGAACAUAAAUAUUCGUUAAUUAUUUUUAAAAGUUUUUAUAUUUGAUAUUAUUUAGUUUGUUUUUUUUAAAAAAAAUUCCUUAAUUUUUGAAGGCAGAAGCUCACCCAUUUUGACUCCAAGCUGGUAGGGUCAUUUUCAUAUUCCCAAGUACAAUAAUAUUUGACCAUUGAGGUGGAAUUCUUGACUUGAUCUUCCACAUCAUGUUGGGCCAAGCUAAUUAGGAAAUCUGUAAUGUGGCAGAUUAUAUAUUCAAGUCAUAAAUUAAUAUAUACCUUUUUGUCAAAGUUAUUUACAUCGGAACUUCCUUGAACAAAGUUGAUAUCGAAUAUCACUUGAGAGAAAAAUAUGAUUGAUAAAAAAUAACACUUUCUAACUAACCUUCUAAAUUUUGAAUGAAAGUUGUUUUAGUGUAUUGGAAUUUGUUUAAAAAAAUUAUUAUUGAAUAUAUAUAUAUAUAUUAAAUAAAUAUAAUCAAUGAACUCAAUAAACUUUUUGGUUUGACCUUCCAAUUUUUUCAACAAAAUGACAUAUUUUUUCAACAAAACGACAAAUAUAAGAAAAUCAAGAAUAAAAACGCAAGCAAGGAGGAAUAAUUUGCAAAGUAUCUAAAAUUCAAUCCUCUAUCUAUUAUAGAGAAAACAAAGAGUGGAAAAGUAAUCCAAAAUGUAUCAAAGGUACUCCCUGUUUCAACCUAAUACAUCAAAAACCAACCAUGCAUAAAGGUCGAAAUCUUAUUGAUCCAACUUCUUAUAUUAAAUUUCUUUAGUGAUAAAGGAAGUUCAAAUCAAACCUAAAAUUCUCUAUGGUCAAAAGGAGGUUCAAAGCAUCCCAAAACCUAAAAUUAUUUAGGGUCACAAGGAGUUUUAAAUAAUUCUCUAAAUUCUCUAAAAUUUAAGAUUGGACACUUUUGACAAUUUUUUGAUCGAAUACCUACAAACUCUUAUAAUUACAAUUUUUAGAAAAUUAAGUAAUCUAGAUAUAAUAGAGUAUGAAAAACUAAUUUAUAGGAUACAAAGAAAAAAAUUAAUUUUUAGAAUUCAAAUGAAGUUCAAAAUUAAAAAGAAUAAAACAUAACUAAAUAAAAUAAGAUUUCAAUGGAACAUUGGAGAAGCUAGAAAACAUUUAUAUGUAAAAAUUGCUACUUGAAGAAACAACUAUUUGAAUUGAAGAUGGAUGAAGAAUAGACGGUAGGGAUUAUAUAAAUAAAUUUAAUAAGCGCAUCGUCCGAUUAUUAAGUAUAGCGGUUACGAUUGAUGAGGAAGAUUAACAUAUUUUUUUUAUCGGCAUCCCUACCAAAAUAAUAUGAGCCAGUGGUAACUGUGCUCUUAGUUGAAAAGAUGAUGUUAAUAGUGGAUAAGCCAUCAAUUGCUCUUUUAGAGACAAAAAAUUAAGUAGCCAAGUAGUUCAUCUCAUACAAAACAAGCUCUUGUGAUGAAUUAUAAAUCACAUCGUGGUAACAGCAAGUCAUGAUAGAGAUAUUAUGAUAGGAGAAAUUAUCAUUCUUAAAUCACACUUUUGAACUGAUAUGGAAAUUUAUUACUACCCAAGAAAAGGACAUAUUAAAAGGCACUAUGAAGAAUUGACAAAGCAUGUAGAAACAAGGAAAAAUCUUGAAUCCCAUGAGGCUCUACUAAUAUUCUUGAUGAAAUUUUUGUUGGCUCUUGGAUUUUUGGUUUUGGUGUUCUUUUCAUAUGUGCCCAAAUAAGGAGAGGUUUGAUAUCUAUAAUGAAUGUGAUGCUAGUACUAUAUGAAUGGAUAAUGAAUCAAGCUCUAAAUUGAUCAGGAUUGACACCAUGAUAGUGAAGAUGUUUGAUUGUGUUGUGAGGAUAUUGUGUAAUGUUAAGCAUGCAUGUUCCUAAUUUAAGGAGUAUAAUUUUUUGGGGGGCUUGGGGCUCUUUGGGUUAUGAUUUUUCAGCAAAUAACUAUGUAAUAAAAAUUAAUCAAGGUACUUUGAUAGCUAUGAAAGAGAAAAAGUUCAAAUAUUUAUACACCUUGAUUGAGAAGAUAAUUUUAGGUGAAGCCACACCAUGAAGAGUAUUUUGCUAGUGAUAAAGAAGUUAUCAAAGUAAAAGAGUGCAACAAGACGAUUAAGACUCCAUUUUCAACUAAGGGUACUCAAUGGCAUAAGGAUGAUACUAAUUGCAAAAGGAAUGAAGUUAUAUAUAUAUAAUUUUGUUGAGUCUAGUUGUAUGAGAAUUUGAACUUGAUACAUGUUUAUUAUCAUUAAUUAUGCAAGAUUGAGAGAAUUUGAGUCAAGGUGAAGGUUUAUGGAAGUUGGUUCAAAUAAUUUGUUCUUUAUUUUUAGGAUAGUCAAAUAUUUAUAGAGUUUGUAUUUUAGUAAAUUACCAUUUUAAGUUUGACUAGGAUUAGGAAACUAUUAAUUUAGAUUUAAACCAUAGGGCUUUGUAAAUAUGUUGUUUUAUAUAUAAUUUCAAGAGAGAGUGAAAAGGUUAACAAAGAGCUAUGAGAAUUAGGCAAAGAGUGUCUUAGAUUUUGGGCAGAUAGAGGUUGACGGUGUUUGAGUUUGUAUUUAUGAAGUUUAUUAAUAAAUUUAAUCUCCUUGUGUAGUGGAAGUAGGCAAUUAGGCCAAACUAUGUAAAUCUUUUCCCUUCUCUAAUUUAAUUUAUUUUACCAACUUCAUUUGGGUCAAACAAAAGGAAUACAACAAGGAAGCCCAUUUCCUUGGUUUUUAUGAAUAUAUUUUUACACUAAUUCAAUAUCAAAAUGGUUGCCUUUCAAAUGUUGCUUAAAUCCAUCCUUUUAUGUAGGAAUCACAAAGCUUAGGAUGUAACCCCAUUAAUGAAAUUCAAGAAGGAAUAGCACAAUUGGUUUUAGGUUAUGAUGAAGCCCUCAGGCCUAAUGGAUUUGAAACUUGCAAAAAUCAUACAAUGAGAUAGUGGAUGAACUGGCAAUAGGUACAUCUCAAACUAAUGGUUCUACUUAUAAGGGGUGUAAAGGCGGAUAUCAAAGAAAGAUAACCUUACAUGUGGAUUGCGGUAACUUGAGUCAAGGUGAUAUUGUUGGAAAUUUUGACUCAAAUGAUUUAUUUUUUAAUUUGAGGAAAGUCAAUAUUUGUAUAGUUUAUGUUUAAGUAAAAUAACUUUUUAAGUUUGGCAAGGAUUCAAGAGCUUAUCAUUUAGGUUAGCCUUUGGGACUUCAUAAAUAUGUGGUUUUUUUCAUAGGAUUUCAAGAGAGAGUUAGAAAAGUGAAUGGAAAGUGAAGAGAGAUAGGGAAAGUUUUGGGAAAAUCACAAUACCCAAAUACAAUAGGAAAAACAAAAUAAAUUAGAAAAGAUAAGCGAUUUACAUGGUUCGACCUAAUCAUCUAGGUCUACUAUAAAGGGAAAUCAAAUAUAUAAUAAAAUUCAAAAUGGCAAAAUCACAAAACCUAAAUACACACAGGAAAAAGUAAAAUAAAUUAGAGAAAAGAAAAAAUUUACUUCGUUCAACUUAAUCGCCUAAGUCUAUUAUAGAGGGAGAUCGAAUUUAUUAAUAAAAUUUAGAAAUACAAAAUCAAACUUUGUCAAGCUCUCUUUACCCAAAACCCAAUGCUUAGAGUUUUCAAAGAAAUCAGAAUCCUUCUCAACUUUAGAACUUGCUUAAGAUUAGUCAGUGUCUUGACAACAUAAAAAAUCUUCACAUUCGCAAUACCAAUCCAAAAGGUUUUAGUGCUUGAACCAUUUAUCAUUAAAACUAUAUUAGCAUUGCAUGCCUUAUAGAUAUCAGACCACUCCUUAUAUGGAGGUCCAUAUGAAAUAAACAUCAAAGAGUCAUAAAAAUUUUCAUCAACUAUAGUAGAAAAAACAUUACCUUAUCAAAAUCUUCAUCAACAACAUCAAUUAAUAGAUUUUGAAGUUUCUUAAGAUUCAAGAAUUUUCUUUUCUUCCAGGUGUUUUGUCAUUUCUUCACGGUAUCUUAUGAUACGUUCCUUUUGUGAAAGAGUAACACUCCACAUAUAUCCAAUAGUGUGAUUGGAAAUGAUUAGUUCUUCUAUCUUAAUAUCUCCUCUAUGAUUUACCCCUACUAGAUUAUAAUUUAGACUUCAUCAUAAGAGCUUAUUGGAUAUGAGAUGAACUAUUUGGCUACUUAAUAAUUUUUGUUUCCAGAUCAGUAGUUGACAUCUCAUCCAUAAUAAACGUUUUCUUUCCAUAAAAUAGUAGUUUCAACUUCCUCAUCAAUGUUGACCUUUACGCUCAAUAUAUAGGUUGUACACUUAUUGAAUUUAUUUAUAUGAAGAUCAAUUCCUUCAUUCAUCUUCAAAUUCAUAUAAUUGUUCACUACAAAAAAUUUGAGUUUUACCAACCCACUUAAGUUUACUUUUGUAAUGGAUUUAAGUUGUCGCUUACAUAUGUAAUUUUUUGUGAACAGUAAUUACAAGUUCUUGAGUUUAGACUGAUUAUGUAAGUGUAGACCUUCCAUUUUGUCCCCUUAGCACAUGUGAUACUAAUUGUUUUCCCUAAUAUUUUUCUCUUGCCUUGUGAUCAUCCCUUGGUGACCCAUCGAUACUUAAAUAGCUACUUUUUUUUAGCCACCUUCAAGGAUCCUUUGUUGAUGGAUUUAUCUAGACCUGCACUAUGACCUUGGUUGCCUUUCAAUCUUAGGUUAGGCUUCAUUUAGUUGCGUUUCCACUUAGUUCCCCUAGACAUUGUCUUAGAGACUUAGGUCACUUAGACACCGCUUUGGGAUGGUUUUCACUUAGACUCUUCACUAGGCUUAGUUCACUUAGGUUUGGUUUUUGGUUCAUUUUUGAGUUUUAGGCUUGAGUGAGUUUUCUUUUACUUGAUUCCAUUUUCCGUUCUAUUAUUGCAUAAAAUGGCUUUCUAACAUUUACUUGUGUGAGUGUGAUAUUUCUAUCUUAUUAUUUAUUGCUUUUAGUUUAAUAUCUUGAUUUCUUUUUAUUAUAUACAUUCGAUUUUUAUAUUUAUAUUUCCGCUCGUACUAUUUAUUUAUUUAUUUUAUAGAAUAUUGCACAAGAUUGAUGUUCUUAAUAGCAUAAAUAGAUGUCUUGAUUUCUUGUGUACAUAUAACUGACAUAUUUUUUACAUAUUUUUUUUUUUAAUGGCAUGAUUUCUUAUCUUAUUUAUUUAUUUAUACUUUUUCUUCAAUUUUAUUUUGACAUGAUUAGCUUUUGGAGGGACUGUCAAUGACUUACCAUCUACACGCAAUUGGGAGGAGAAUCCACACAUACCAUUUAAACUCCACAAGGCUGCAAUCGGAAGGAAGAUAUGCACAGUCCACUUUCCAUGAAAAUCUCCACAACACGCAUCAAGGAUAGGGCUAUAGAGUCCUAUAGGGUAACACUAAACAAUAAGAUUUUUUAAUGCUAGCUAGUUGAACUUAAAAAAGUAAUUUAUCCAAAUCUAAACUAUAUUGACUUUCCCAAAAACAAAAAGAAAAAAUUGAGUUAAAAUUACCAACACAUAAGGCCUACUCUAUUGAUCACAAAUGUUAUAUAUUCAUUGAUAUCAAUUUCCUAAUAAGGUAGUAAGCAUAUUCUCAAAUUCUUCUAAACGAAGUCUUUUUGUCUCCAAUGAAACUUUCUUAUACAUUUUUCAUUUUAAAUUUUGAGAUCGUAAUCAAACAAACUAAGUUAUGGUUAAAUGUAUGUGAGUAUUGUGCUUGGACAAGAGAGAUGAUCCAACUUAUUUAUACAAAUCAUCAAUGAAGUAUCACUCAUUAUAGAACUCCUAAUCUAAUUAAGUUAAUACUCCUACACAGUCUUAAUUAAUCCAAUCUAAAUGUAAGAAUUAAUCUAUUGUAACCAUAUAUUAAAAUAUUGCGAAAAUACGUCAAAAGAUCAAAUAUUUUUUAGUGUAUCGAUUAUGGCUAAUAUGAUAUAAGGAGUGAAUAAUUGGUAGAAUGUUAUAAAAUAUGAGAUUUUGUACCACUAUGGUAACUUGUGAAUGAUCAUCCAUAAAUAUCUAUUGUAAUUCCAUAUAAAAGGGAGAGACCCUUAAUGAAAUUGAAUAUAGAGUUUUCCCGUGCAUUCUAUUCUCUUCUUACAUUUUGAUUUCUCUUGUUUUCUUCUCGUUUCACUUUACAAUUUUAUAACACAUUAUCAGCACGACUAGUCUCUACAAAAGAAAUAGAAAGAUUUUUCUCUAUUCAGAAAAAUGGAAAGAUCUUCUCUCUUCUUUCUCACGAAAAAGUAUGUGAUAAACUUAUAUCAUGAAUUUCUAUUUUAUUACCCUUUGAUCUCUAUUUUAAGUUAUUUUAUUUGAAUACAUAAAUAUGUAGAAUCCCUAUAACCAGAAGUUAUGAAAAAUAUGUGCAAUUUCUAUAACCAGAAGUUAUGAGGAAAAAUUACAGAAUUACAGAUACAUGAUUAGAAGUUAUUUAUAUGAUCUCUAAUUAUUUAUUUUUAAUUAUACGGUAUAACUGGAUGUUAUACCAAACAAUAUUAGCCAGAAGCUAUAAAAUAAAUAAAUAAAUGUUCAUAGCCCGAAGUCUACAUAAUGAAAGUUCAUAGCUCGAAGCUAUGCACAAAUCUACCUAAUGAAUAGUUCAUAGCCUGAAUCUAUAUAUAAAUUUAUAUAAAAAAAAAUAGUUCAUAGCCUAAGUGAUGUAAAAAUUUAAAUAUUUUCUUAUUCUGACAAAAUAAUCAUGGUCUGAAGCUAUGAAAGAUAUUAAUUUUUAAUUUCUUUUAAUUAUAUUGUGUAACUAGAAGUUAUACAUAAAUAGUUCAUAGCCUGAAGCUAUGUACAAAUUUGAAUAUUUUCUUAUUUUGGCAAAAUAAUCAUAACUCAAAGUUAUGAAAAAUAUUGGAUUUAAUUUUUAUUUCGUACUCAUUUAUUUUUCACAACAGGAAUUAUGGAAAACAAUUUUUAUUAACAAUUGUUUCAUAGCCAGAAGUUAUGCAUACAAUUUCUAAUUCUCUUGUAUAACCAGAACUUAUUCAAAACAAAAAUGUUAAUGAAUCUUGGAGCUAUGAUUAAAGAAGGAAAUCAAGCAUCCCUAUAGGAUCAUGCAAAAACACUGAUUUUCCUUCGUCAUCAUCUCCAUGAAUGUUUAACAAAAAUGGGCUGUUGAUGAGAAAUCACCAAUCUCGUCCAACUAGAUUUGAAUCAUUCCCUGAAGUGAAUGUAAUAUUGUCCCAAACUCAUGGACGAUGACAACGACAAGGUCGUGGUCAUGGAAGAAAUCCCUAAUACCAUGGUUCUUAUAGUAAUAAUUCACCAAAUUCUCAAAAAAGAAAAACCUCAUUGCACCACUAGAAGUGGAAUAAUACUGAGGUAAAACAAGAAAAUGGGAAGUGUUUACAAGAUAAACCUCCUAAGAACCAUGAGAAUAAUUGUUAUAAAUGUGGUAUGAAGGGGCAUUGGUUGCAUACCUAUCGUACGCCCAACAUUUGGUCGACCUUUACUAAGCAUGAAUAAAAGGAAUGGAAGUUGAAAUGAACUUCAUUGAUAGUGAUGGCCAAGUGGAUCUAACCCAUUUAGAUGUUUCAGAUUUCUUUGAGAAUCCUAAUGGGAAAAUUGACCAUCUAAUUGGUGAUGGAAAUGUUUGUUAUGAUUAAACGUUAUGUUUAGUUAUUUGCAAAUAGGUUUAUUUUGUUAUCAUCUUUGAACACAUUGUUUAUUGUUCAUCUUUUAUAGUUUAUUUCACAUUUUAUUAUUUAUCAUUUAAAUUCUUUUCUUUAUUUAUACUUGAAGAUAUAUGAAUCUCUCUCAUAUAUUGAUCCAUCACUACAAUUAGUUUGAUUAUUGAAAUACCACCUUGUUAUUUCAUGUAUAAAUUGCUCAACACUUACAAAAUCAAAUGUGUGAGAUACUUACGAAAUAUAUAACUUUAAAUUAUCUUUUCAUAUUUGUUUUAUUGUGUUAUAUAUGCUCUCAUUGCUUUUACACAACUUAUUAAGUUAAGUCAUCAUCGAUGACUAAUAUUCUUCCAUUGAUUUUAAUUCUUUCUCUAUGAUAACAUUUCUUCAACUCUACAAAGACAAAGUCUUUAUGACAAUGUUUUAUGACUUAUUAAUUUGAUGAAACUCUUGUCUCAUUAAUUGCACAACAUUGAUGACAAACAAUGUUAAUACUAUAUCAGGUGACAGAAACCUGAUUAAAGGCUCCAGAAGAGCUUAUACUAUGUCACUAGUAGUAUUUGAUUCCAUGUGAAUGACACUUUAUACGAUGAUAGAUCCAGAAGAAUCUUGUAAGACCAACUUGGUCCCCCGGGGUAAAAGGUCAUAUGGAUGUACAUUACAAAACCAGAAGUUUUUAAUUAGUGACUAGUCUACCUAUACACUUAAAAGGUAGAAUGACAUGUUGUGCAGAUUAUCAUUUUAAUGAGACAAUUUUCUCACCGUUAGGGGGAGAAGAGCCAGUUCCAGAAGAACGGCGUGAAAUUAUUUGGAAUGCAUUGACUUUGACUCAUCUUGAUCCUCAUACAAAUCAAUGUGAAUUAGAAGUUCAAAGGACUAUUCAUUUGCAAAAUCUUACAAAUAAAUUACAAGAUGCAUUUAUUGAUACAAAGAAAGUGACAAAAUCAUAUAUCCCGGCUGCAAAUACUCUAGCACAGAUUGAUGUCCUUGUAGGACAGUUAACAAAUUAAUCUAAGAUACGCUUGAAGCGUGGUAGACCUAACGGCUCUAAGGAUGUAACUCUCCGGAAGAGGAGAACCCAAGAAAAACUUAGCACUCUAAAAGAGGCCAUAAAAAAUAACUGAUCAGUUUAAAAUUGAUAAAUCUAUAGCCCUGGAAGAGGCACAAAUAAUACAAGAAGCCCUUGAAGAGGCACAUAUAUUGAACAAAAAGCCCUUGAAGAGGCAUAAGUACCCGAAAAUUCUGAGAUCUCAGUAAGUUAUGUAUACACGGGAGAAAAAUUGGAUCAAAAUAAUAUUAUUUUCACUUUCCAAGUGGCCUUCAUAAGAAAUGAUGAAGAUCUUGAACCACGAAAUGUGGAAGAAUGCCGACAUAGAAAUGAUUGGCCAAAAUGGAAAAAAGUUAUACAGGCAAAGUUAAACUCAUUAAUAAAAUGAGAAGUUUUUGGACCUGUAGUCCAAACACCUGAAGAUGUAAAGCCUGUUGGGUACAAAGGGGUAUUUGUACGAAAACGCAAUGAGAAUAAUGAGAUCAUAAGAUAUAAAGUGUGAUUAGUAGCACAAGGUUUCUCGCAAAAACCUGGUAUUGACUAUGAGAAAACAUUAUUUCCCGUCAUGGACACAAUCACAUAUAAUUUCUUAAUUAGUUUGGCAGUCCAAGAAGGACUAGAUAUGCGUCUCAUGAAUGUUAUUACAGUAUAUUUAUAUGGAUCCAUGGAUAAUGAUAUAUACAUGAAAAUCUCUGAAGGAUUUAAAUUGCCUGAAGCAAAUUGUACAAAGCCUCGUAGCAUGUACUCAAUCAAGUUACAACGAUCCUUGUAUGGAUUAAAGUAAUUUGGAUGCAUGUGGUACAAUCGCUUUAGCGAAUAAUUGCUAAAAGAAGGGUAUAUGAAUAAUCUUUUAUGCCCAUGCAUCUUCAUUAAGAAAUCAGAAACCAGAUUUGCAAUUAUGGCAGUGUAUGUUGAUGACUUAAAUCUUGUUGGAACUCUUGAAGAGCUCACAAAAACAAAAAAUUAAUUGAAAAAUGAAUUUGAGAUGAAAGGUCUUGGAAAAACAAAAUUCUGUCUCGGUUUGCAGAUUAAGCAUUUUCCAAAUGGAGUUUUAUUACAUCAAUCAACAUACAUUAAGAAAGUUUUGAAGCAUUUUUAUAUGGAUAAAGUGCAUCCUUUAAGUUCUCCAAUGAUUGUCCGAUCACUUGAUGUGAAAAAUGACGCAUUUCGUCCUUGCGAAAAAUGAUGAAGAAUUAUUUGGUCCUGAAGUACCAUAUCUUAGUGCUAUUGGUGAACUUAUAUAUCUUGCCAAUUGUAUACGUCCAAACAUUGCUUUUUCUAUCAAUUUAUUAGCAAGAUAUAGUUUCGCUCCAACUCAAAGACAUUGGAAUGGUAUCAAACAUAUAUUGCGUUAUCUUUGCGAAACUACUAGUAUGAGUCUAUUUUACUCAAGAGAAUCAAAGCAACAAUUGCUUGGAUAUGCAGAUGCAGAAUAUCUUUUAGAUCCUUAUAAAGGUAAGUCACAAACAUGGUAUGUGUUUAAUUACAAUGGUACUGUUAUCUCAUGGAGAUCUAUCAAACAAACAAUGGUGGUCACGUCAUCAAAUCAUUCAGAAAUUCUUGCAAUUCAUGAAGCAAGUUGUGAAUAUGUAUGGUUAAGGUCAAUGAUCCAACAUAUUCAAGAAACAUGUGGACUACCUUCCAUUAGAGGCAAUGCAACCAAGUUACAUGAAGAUAAUGUUGCUUGUAUUGCACAAAUUAAAGGAGGAUUCAUAAAAGGUGACAUAACUAAGCAUAUCUCCCCUAAAUUAUUCUAUACUCAUGAGCUCCAAAAGAAAGGUGAGAUCGAUGUUCAACAUAUUCGAUCAUGCAAUAAUCUAGCAGAUUUAUUCACAAAGGCGUUACCUUCGACCGCAUUGAAAAAGUUAAAGUAUGACUUUGGAAUACGAAGAUUGAGAGAUCUACCAUUUGAAAUGUUGAAGAAAUCAUAAUCAUGUUUACAUGAGGAGGAGAAUGAUAAUAUGGAUAUACUGCACUAUUUUUUCCUUCGUCCAAGUUUUGUCCCAAUGGGUUUUACUGGCAAGGUUUUUAACGAGGCAAUUAUAGUAAUCCAAAAGAAUAUUGUACUCUUUUUCCUUCACUAGGGUUUUUCCCAUAGGGUUUUUCCUAGUAAGGUUUUAAUGAGGCAUAUUCUUAUGAUCAUCCAAGGGAGAGUGUUAUAAAAUAUGAGAUUUUGUACCACUAUGGUAACUUGUGGAUGAUCAUCCAUAAAUAUCUCUUGUAACUCCCUAUAAAAGGAAGAGACCCCUAAUGAAAUUGAAUAUAGAGUUUUCCCGUGCAUUCUAUUCUCUUCCUACAUUUUGAUUUCUCUUGUUUUCUUCUCCUUUCACUUUAUAAUUUUACAACAUAGAAAGUUUUUUCAGAUGUUCACCAAAUUUAUUGGGAUUUGCCUUAUACCACGAUGGCAUCUAGAAUGACCUCGCCAAGCGCAAAACUUCAUCCCUAUUAACAUAUGUGCAUAAGUUUUAUAUAUACUAAUUUUAUAUCUUCUAAUAUUUCUAAUAUAUUCAUAUAAAAAAUGAAAUAUUUAAAUACAAUUUUAAUAAAUAAAUUAAUUUUAAUCAUCUUAUUUUUAAAUUUCAUUUAACUAGUUAUUAAAUAUAUAAAAACUAUCAUGAAAAUCUUUUUAAUAAAUUAAUAUUUUUUAUAUCUUUUAUAUAUUGAUUAAAUUCAAGAGAAAUAUAAGCUCAUAAAUAAAAUGACAUAAUUUUUAAAAAAAAUAAUGAUACAUAUAUUAUAAUUUCUUUUAUAUUCUUAAAUACAUCCAAAUUAUAUAGAUCUUAUUUUAGUGGUAUAUCAAAUAAUUGUGUUUUAAUUUUUAUACGUUAUUAUCUAAUGUGACAAAUUUUGUCGUAUUUUGAUAUUUUAUUAUGACUUGAAUAUAUAAUCUACCUCAUUAUAGAUUUCAUAAAAUUUUGUAUUAAUAUCGAAUCGUUAGCUUAGAAGUCAAGAAUCCCAACUCAAUGGUCAAACAAUAUGGUAUGUGGGGCAUAUGAAAGUGAUCCUCCCAGCUUGGAGACAAAAAGUUGUUUUUAUUUUUAUUUAUUUAUUCUUUUUAACAAAUAGAGCAAAUUUUAAAAAUAAUUUUCUGUUUUUAAAUUUACUGCUCUUUGUACCAUGCAUGGAAGCGCCGACAUGGACAUUACCAACAUGGACAUUAGAUCAAAACCUAAAACGAGCAUAAUUCUUUAUGGAUAUUCUCCCGGCGGUGGUAGUUACCCGGUUGCUGAGGUUGCUUCAAAUUACUCACAACUUUUAUUGCCCUUAUUUUCAAACAUAUAUAGAAGGACGAUAUCCUAAGCAGAGAAAGCCAAAGAAACGUAAUCGAGUUGAAUACUUUCUCAGUUCCUACUUCCAGCGGAGGAAUAGAAGAACAGGCAUAGGGGAGGAAGAAAGACAAAAGCAAAAAUAAAUUAAUGAAUGAAAACGGCAGCCUACCAACUUGGACAUCAGAUCAUAUUUCCCUGGAUUAUUCAAAUGCCCAUCUACCUACAUACAAGUCCCCAUUCAUAUAUCAUCAAAUAUAAGCAAAGGAGAAACCAAUUCAAUGACAACUAGAGCUAUCAAAUCCAAUAUUUCUUUUAUUAAUUUACUUUUCAAUAAUGUUCAUAUGAACACAACAUUACAAUGUUUAGGGAAUCUUCAAGAUGAUAAAACAGUCUGAACUUGAAACUCAACCGUUUCAUUUGAGCUCACCAAGAGGGUCUAAUAAUCACUAGAUUACAAUCUAAAUUUAGAAAAAAAUAAUAAAAUAGUAUAAGAGUAUAAUUUAGUUUCGGAGAUAAAUACCUUACUCCUAUUCAACAUAAUAGGACAUUGAAGGGACCAUUCUCUUUUCCUUCACUUAAUUUGUCACCAUAGGAAUGCUAUGCAACACAACAGUUUCAAUAGUCAAGCCUGGUCCAAAACCAAAUAAUACUCCCCAAUCCAAUCCUUCACCUGUGGUGGCCCUCUCCCCCUUAAGGGAUUUCUUUCUCAUCUCAUCCAAAAUAAACAACACACAUGCACUUGACAUGUUUCCAUACUCACUUAGCACAUGCCUCGUUGCUUCGAGUUUCUUUUUAUCUAAAUUGAGUUUUGCUUCAACUGCAUCAAGAAUUGCAGGGCCACCUGGGUGAGCAAUCCAAAAUAAGGAGUUCCAAUCGCUAAUACCAAGUGGGUCAAAAGCCUGAGUCAAACAUUUCUCUAUGUUCUCAGAAAUUAAAGUGGGCACAUUGGGCCACAAAUGAAAGGUGAGUCCCACCUCACGUAAGUUUCCUGCAAUGGCACCUGCAGAAUUAGGAAUAAAUGUUUGGGCUGCUGAGACAAGCUGGAAGAGUGGUCGUUCAAUUGAGAUAUCCGGAUCUGAUCCUACGAUUACAGCUGCAGACCCAUCACCAAAAAGGGCUUGGCCAACUAAAGAGUCCAAAGCAUCUUCGGAAGGGCCGCGAAAUGUAACAACUGUGAUCUCAGAGCACACCACAAGAACUCGUGCUCCUGCAUUAUUCUCUGCAAGAUCCUUAGCGGUUCGAAGGACAGUUCCACCUGCAUAGCACCCUUGAUGGUACAACAUCACUCUUCUGACAGAUGGUUCGAGGCCUAAGAGAUUAGCGAGUUUAUAAUCUGCACCAGGCAUUUCUACACCUGAGGUGGUACAAAAUACAAGGUGGGUGAUCUUCGAUUUAGGCUGACCCCACUCUUUAAGAGCCUUCAAUGCUGCUUCCUUACCGAGCUUGGGUACCUCAGCAGUGAUAAUCUCUUGGCGUAUGUUAAGAGAUGGAGCCAUAUAAGCACCAAUGUUUGGGUGCUCCUCAAGCAUUUCUUCGGUCAAAUGAAUGUAACGCUUCUUGAUCAUGGAUUUGUCACCUGUAAAUGAAAUAACAUGAACACAUUAGUUUUACCAAUCAACAAGUGAUAUAGAAUAUCGUUGAAUAUGAUCGACAUGCAUUUAACAUUGAAGCAAGUAUAAAAGGUUAUUCUUAAUUAUAGCUGGCAAUGCGACAUGAUUCAAAGAACAGCUCUUCAAGCCAUUACAGUCAGAUGAAAUGAAUAUUAGUUACUGAAGUAAAAUAAUUUUCAAGUUUUCUGUAGUAUUUUAUCUAAAAGCUAUACUCUAGAAAGAUUGCAACAUUCAUUCACUUGGAGGUGAGCCUCACCUAGUGUCAGUCACAUAUAUACAGAACUGUUAUGCAUGUAAGAAAUUAAUGCAUGAAUAUACUUACAUAUGCGAUUGAACUUCUUCUUCAACGCAGUCAUGUGCUCGCUCUUAGUGACCCUGAAAUAGUAAUCAGCAUAAUCAGACUGGUAGACACAGUGGUCAGGGGUAGCUGUGCCAAUGGCUAGGAUGGUGGCCGGACCCUUGGCACGUUGAGCGUUUCUAAUUUCCUCGACUGAAGCCAUUGAUCCCAGCUACGUACUCAAAUUAAAGCCUAAGAUUAAGUUGAGGAAGGAAAGAGAACUCAGUGUGCACAAGUGCUUGGAGUUGGCUUGAGAAAGCUCGGUGUGAGUGUUGGCCUUUUAUAACCUGUGUUUCACCAACUCUCAUCCAUUGGUAGUCUUUGAAUUAUCAGUUGGCGUCAAAGUUUGUGUGCGUGAGUUUUUUUCCUGGUGGGGUUGAUUUUCAGACAUGUAUGCAUGCGUUAAUGUAUUUGUGUUGUUUUCUGUUCUUCACCUACCCAUAGGAAGGAGAAAGCAUUCAAUCCGGUCACAUUUGUUAUAUAUAGAGAUAAAGACUUUUCCAGCCUCCUGGAAAUUAAUGCAUUGUUCAUUUGACUUUUCCAUGUGUGGGAAGCUGCUACCAACUUUCUUAUUGAAGAAUUCAUCAAAGUCAUUCAAAUUUGGAUUUCUAAAUUUGAAAUAACCUCAACAACCCAAUAAUUAAUGCAUUAUUUUUCUUUUGCAGGAUUACAUCACAUGUUAUUUAACUUAUUCAAUAAGUAAUUCAACAAAUAUCUCAUUUUUAUUUAACCUAUUUCGUCAUCUAACUUGCUAAGAACUCGUUUGAUUCUCUCUCUCUCACACAUUGAAGAAUUCAUCAAAGUCAUUUAAAUUUGGAUUUCUAAAUUUGAAAUAACUUCAACAACCCAAUACCUAAUGCAUUAUUUUUCUUUUUCAGGAUUACAUCACAUUUCAUUUUACUUAUUCAAAAGUAAUUCAACAAAUAUCUCAUUUUUAUUUAACCUAUUUUGUCAUUUAGUGAUUGACUUUUCAAUUGACACCAACCUUUAAUGCUCCUUCAAUAAAACUCUUUAAUUACUAUGUUGCCCUUUUGAGUUUCCAUCAUUCUUUCAGUUGACAACAAUUCAUUCCCCAUAUAUAGGCUAUUUUUGUAAAAUGUUUCUUUCCAAAAAGGCACUAUAAAGUCCUUAUAAAACAUUAAAUUCCUUUUAUCUAUACAAUAUAUAAAAUUACAAUGUGUCUUUUUUUCAAAAAUAACUUUAUUAUUUCGAUUUUAUGCGCUUAUAUCAUAUCUUUAUUAUAUGUAAUUAAUUCAAAUAAUGUUUAUUUUUUCUAAGGACAAUUUACUCUUUAUAAAAAUUAUUAUAAUGUAAUUAAAAUAAUUUUAAUACGUUCAUAAAAGAUUUGGAUAAAAAAAAAAUCCUCUUUUAAAAAAAUGAUAAUAAUUUAGGUUUUUAAUACAAAGUGUUUCGACAUUUUUUUCCCAAAAAUAGUCUUAUCAUUUCUAUUAUAUGCGCUUAUAUCCUAUCAUUAUUAUUAUAUGUAAUUAAUUCAUAUAAUGUUUAUUUUUCAAAGGACAACCUACUCUUUUUAAAAAUUAUUAUAAUGAAAUUAAAAUAAUUUUAAUAUCUUCAUAAAAAAAAACUUAAAUUAGAUAAAGAUCCUCUUUAAAAAUUUUAAAAUGAUGAUAAUUUAAGUUUUUAUUAUUAAUUUAUUGAAUUAAAAAAAUUAGAUAAAAUUAAAGUUACAUAAAUACAAAAUAAUAUUUUUUUAGAAUCCGAAUUACAUAUUUUUUUUCUAUUACAAAUGCUUAUAUCCUAUCAUUAUUAGAUGUAAUUAGUAAUUCAAAUAAUGUUUUUUUCAAGGACAACCUACAUUUUAGAAAAAUUAUCAUAAUCUGUAUAUAUUAUAUAUAAAAGUACAAAGUAUUUGUAGUCUUAUCAUUUCUAUUAUAUAUGUUUACAUCCUAUUAUUAUUAUUAUAUCUAAUUAAUUAAGAUAAUAUUUGUUUUCUUCAAGGACAACCUACUCUUUAAAAAAAUUAUAAUAAUUUAAUUAACAAUAAUUUUCAUAUCUUGAUAAAAAAAAGAAGGGGGACUAGAUAAGGGUCCUCCAUAAAUAUAUAUAUAUAUAAUAAUUUAAGUUUUUAUUCUUAAUUUAUCUAUACUACAUUUAAAAGACUGAAGUGUUUGUCGAGUUUUUUUUCCUUGGCCUUAUCAUCUCACUUAUAUACAGUUAUAUUCAUCAUUAUUUUAUUUAAUUAAUUGAGAUAAUGUUUUUGGACAACCUAUAAAUUAAUUUAGAUAAUAUUUUUCUUUCAAAAAAAUAAUUAUAUAUGUUUUUUAAAAAAAAAUAAAAAACUAAUUUAGAUAAUGAUUCUCUUUAUAAAAAAAAUUAUCAUAAACUAAGUUUCCAUUCAUAAUUUAUUCAAUAAAAAAGAAAUUUAGAUAAAAAAAAAAUCAAAUAAAUAUAAAAAAAAAUUGUUUUGAAUUAAUUUGUCUUUUUAAUCCAAAUUUUAAAUAGGAUUUAAUGGUUAUUUAAUUUUAAAAAUAUUAAUAUUUCAAGAUGAUAUAAUUUGUUCGCUAAAAAUUUAAUAAAUUGUUCAUGUAUCAUGUAUUUAUUAUUAUUUUGAUUCAAAGUAUUCAUUGUUAUAUCAAUUCAAAAUGAUUUUUUUUUAUGAAUAUUUAUUUAUCAAAAUAAAUAUUAAGAGUCAUUAUCUAUUUAUUUUAUAUUUUUCAUUAAAAAAAUAUUAUUAUUAAAAAAAAAAAGUUUUUUUCACAUCGUUUCAUUUCCUACAGUGACUUUUCAUACAUAAUCAUUCAUAUCCAUUAAUUUCCUUUAUAUAUGACUUUUCAUACAUAUCCAUUCAGUCUCUUUAUGUGCAUUUUUCACCCAUCCAAAAACUUUUCAGUUCGUACCAUUCAUUUCUCAUUCAAUUCAUUUUGUAUCUCCCAUUCAAAAGGAAAAAAAAAAAAAAACACUAAGGCAAGAUGAUCAAGACUCUAUUUUCAAGUAAAGGUACUUAUAGGCAUAAAGAUGAGACUAAUUGGAAAACAAAUGAAGCUAUAAAGAAGAUAAAGACGAUUUCUCAAGACAAGUUCAAUGAGCAUUUGAACUUGACACAUGUUUGUUCUCAUUAAUUGUAUAGUAGUGGCUUCCUACUCAUAAGGGUGCAAAGUUAGGUAUCAAGGAGAGAUAAAUAUACAUAUAGAUUGAGAGAAUUUGAGUCGAAGUAAAGAUUGUUGGUAAUUUUGAAUCAAAAUAUUUAUUGUUUAUUUUUAGGAAAGUCAAUAUUUGUAGAGUUUAUGGUUGAGUAAAUUACCUUUCUAAGUUUGACUAGGAUUUUAAAACUUAUCCUUUAGGGUUAGCAUAUAGGACUCUAUCCAUAUGUGACUUUACAUAGGAUUUCAUGAGAGAUCGAAAAAAAUGAAUGAAGAGUGAAGAGAAAUAAGAAAAUGGUGCAUUGGGUUUUGGGUAGAGAGAGGUUGAUACAGUUUGAGUCUAUAUUUUUUAAGUUUAUAUUUUUUAAGUUUUUUAAUAAAUUCAAUCUCCCUCUAUAAUAGACAUAGGUGAUUAUGUUGAACCAAAUAAAUUGUUUCUCUUCCCUAAUUUAUUUUAUUUUUCCAAUUGUAUUUAGGUGUUGUUAUUUUUUCAUUUUAAAGUUUAUUAUAAAAUUGAUCUCCUUCUAUUGCGAACAUAGGCAAUUAGGUCAAACCAUGUAAAUCUUUUAUCUUCUCUAAUUUAUUUUAUUUUUCCUAUUGUAUUUGAGUGUUGUGAUUUUCCUAACAACUUUGCCUAUCUUUCUUCACUUUUUGUUCUCUUUUUGACCUCUCUUUUGAAAUCCUAUGAAAAAAACCAUAUAUUAAUAAAGUCUUAUAGAUUAACCCUUAAUGAUAAGUUUUGGAAUCCUUGUCAAACUUAAAAAGCCAAUUUACUCAAACAUAAACUCUACAAAUAUUGACUUUCCUCAAAUUAAAAAAUAAAUAAUUUGAGUCAAAUUUACCAACAAUCUCCACCUUGACUCAAGUUCUCUCAUUCUACAUGUAAGGUUAUCUUUUUUUGAUACCCACCUUUACACCCCCCUAUGAAUAAAACUAUCAGCUUGAGAUGCAUUUAUUGUCAGUUCACCCAUUGUCCCAUCGUAUGAUUUUUGUGAGUUUCAGACCCAUUAGGUCCAAGGGCUUCCUCAUAGCCUAAAACCAAUUAUUCUAUUCUAUUUUGUUUGUGGGGCAAAAAUAAGUUUGCAUACUUAAUAAGCUUUGUGAUUCGUACAUAAAAAGGAUGGAUUUAACUAGCAUUCAAAUGGAAAUCAUUUUGAUAUUGAAUUGGUGUAAAAAUAUAUUCAUAAACACCGAGAAAAUGUGGCUUCCUUGUUCUAUUCCUUUCGUUUGACCUAAAUGAAGUUAGUAAAAUAAAAUAAACUAGAGAAGAAAAUAUUUACAUGGUUUGGCCUAAUUGCUUAUAUCCACUACACAGAGAGGCCAAAUUUAUUAAUAAACUUCAUAAAUACAAACUCCAACUCUCUCAACCUCCCUUUACUAUAAACCUAAUACACUCUUUGCCUAACUUUCUUAACUCUUUGUUAACUUUUUCACUCCCUCUUGAAAUCAUAUGCAAAACCACAUAUUUAUAGAGCUUUAUGGUUUAAACCUAAAUCAAUAGUUUCAUAAUCCUAGUCAAACUUAAAAAGGUGAUUUAUUAAAAUACAAACUCUAUAAAUAUUGUCUUUCCUAAAAAUAAAGAAUAAGUUAUUUGAGGUAACUUCCAAAAACCUCAAUAUUGACUCAAAUUCUUUCAAUCUUACAUAAUUAAUGAGAAUAAACAUGUAUCAAGUUCAAAUUUUCGUCAAACUAGACUCAAGAAACUAUUUUUCUCUUUUUUGAUAACUUUAUUCCUUUUGCAAUUAGUAUCAUUCUUAUGCUAAUGAGUACUCUUAUUUGAAAAUACAAUCUUGAUCAUCUUGUUCCACUUUUCUACUUUGACAACUUCUUUAACACUAGGAAAAUACUCUCUAUGGUGUGGCUUCACCCUCAUAGCUUCACCUAAAAUUGUCUUCUCAAUUAAGGUGUAUAAAUAUUUCACAUUUUUCUUUUGCACUGUUAGGAUUGAGUCUAAAAAAACAUGAUAUGAUAUAAUAGAUUGAGAUUCAUUUAUAAAUUUUUUAUCUAUGUUUCUUGGUUUUUCAUUUAUUAUCCUAUUUGCAUUAAUUAGUUACUAAUUUGAGUAUACACACCCACAUCACUUGUAUUGUACAUAGCUUGGGAGCAUUAGGAGUUACAUAGAAAAUCCAAGUCAUGGGUUCCUUACAAAGUGAUGAGCUGUCUAUAGUUGGUUAAUAGAUUUGGGCAAUCUAUUUGAGACUAUAUUGCACUACCUCCUAAUUGGGGGGAUGACUUGUUCUAGUCAUAGGGAUGGUUUUCCCAUGGUAAGUGUACUAUUAUAUGUAAUGCACACUGGACAAGACUUAUGGCGAAUCAUGAUGUAAGUCAUAGGUUCCUUGAAAAGUGAUGAGUUGUCUAUAGUUUUUUUAAUGGAUUUGGGCAAUCUAUUUGAAAUUGUAGUGCAUUAUCUCCUAAUUGGGGAGAUGACUUGUACUGGUCAUUGGGAUGGUUUUCCCAUGGCGAGUGCACUAUUGUAUGUGAUGUACAUUGGACAAGACUUAUGGUAAAUCAUGACGUAAGGCUAUUAGUUAUCAUGAUUCACUUGUUAGGAUUGAGCCUUUAAAAGCAAGAAAUAAUGUAACAAAGUAAGAUUUUACUAUCCCCGGGUUAUCCCUUUUAUGCAUUGACUUUGAUUUGAACAUUCAACUCAUAUCUUUUACAUUGUACAUGACUUAGGUGGAUUAGGAGUUGUAUAAAGGAUACAAGUCAUUAGAUUCAUGUAAAUAGAUAAGUUGUCCAUAGUCAAUUUAUGGAUUUUGGCAAUCCAAUAGAGAUUGUAGUGCAUUACCUCCUAAUUUGAGGGAUGGUUUAUCUUAACCAUCAAGACUAAUUUCCCAUAGUGAGUGCACUAGUGUAUACUGGACAAGACAUAUGAUGAAUCAUGACAUAAGACUAUCAAUUGUCAUGAUUUAUGAAGCUACUAUAUUGUGUAGGCUCUCAACCUUGAGAGGAUAUCGAACCUAUGUCAAAAUCAACAAGAGGCUUUAAUUUAUGAGUGAGAUCCUAAAGUAGUCAUAUAUCCUUAUAGAUUGAGUUAUUCUUGAUGGAGGCUAGUGGUAAUAGGUAUUUUCAAUAAAUGUAUCAUGAUAUCUCAUGAAAUUGACGUAGUAUGUCCCCUUAGAUGGUCCAAAGGACAUGUGAUCAUGAAAUCUAUAACGUCGUAGUAAUUCCUUAAGUGGAAUUUGAUAAAUGCUCUUUAUGGGUUAGAGUAUGUCAAUUGAUCAUAUAAUAAGCGAGGUUUGUGACUUAAGGAUUAUAGAGAUAAUCUUGAUAGGUGAUAGAACUACCUUAUUAGAUUACAUAUACUAAUUCAUGAGGAGUCAACAUGCUGUGGAUAAUAGGUCAUGGACCCAAGCUUCGUGUCAUUGUUAUUUACAUAAGGUACUAGAAUAUAGUUAAUUCUCUUUAGUGGAAUGUUGAAUCAACUUCAAAAUUAGAUUUUGAGGAAGCCAAUACUCCUAUGGAUCCCAAUGGUCCCCAAACUGAGCUCAUAUAUCAUGAUGACACAAUUUAUGAAGGUUGGAGCUCUAAGUUCACUCUUAUACAUAGGAGUGUUUUAGUAAUUAUGCAAGGUAACACAAAGGAUAGUGAAAAAGGUCUCUAGAUUGGUCUAAUAGAUUAAUUAGAAAUCCCUAUGUGGUUAGUUGAUAAAUUAGGACUUGUUUUGGAUUAGAUUAAGUGACUCAAGCCUCGAUGGGCACAAGUCACUUAAGCCUAGUGAGUAACCCAAUAAAUACCUUUUUAGGGAUUAUAGUUUCCUAAUGACUUUCAAUUAGUCAUUUUCCACCUCCAAAGAGAGAGAGAGAGAGAUGGUUAAAGCUUUUUCUUUUCCAUUGCCCAUACUUUGGAGUGCCAAAAUCAUGGUUUGAGUCAUCAAGUAGAAGAUCUUAGGUGUACAAGACCUUUAGACUUCUUCUUAUCAACAUGGAAUUGAUCUGGGAACAUCUAAACUAGGGUAUGAGUUUUUCUUCUCUAGAUCUUUAUCUUAAUAUGGUUUUUGUAGCCAUAUGUUUCCCUUUUGGUAGAUUUAGAGAAGCCCUAGGAUAAUUUACAUGCACAUUACGAUAUUCAAGUUUAGGGAAUGGAGAAAUCCAGAUUUCCCAACAUCAUUAAACUACUAUACUACAUGGACUUUCAACCUUGAGAGCAUAUUGAGUUCGUGUUAAAGUCAAUAAAAGGCUUUGAUCUUUGACUGAGACCUUGAGGUGGUCACAUGUCUCUAUGAAUCGAGUCACUAUUGAUGGAGGUUGGUAGCAACAGGUAUUGUAAAUAAAGACACUGUGAUAUCUUAUAGGUUUGAGACAUCGUGUCCCUUUGGGUAAACCAAAGAACAUGUGAUCUAGAAGACUAUGACCAUAGUAUUUCUUUUAAUGGAAAUUUAACAUAUGCCCAUUAGAGCUAGAGUACGUCAAUUGAUCAUAUAAUGAAUGAGAUCUAUAACUCAAAUAUUAGAGAGGUGAUCUUGUUAGGUGAUAACACUACCUUGUUAUAUUAUAAACACCAAUUCAUAGAGAGUCUACAUGUAGUGGAUAAUAAGUGAUAGACCCAAGCUUUGUCUCAUUAUUAUUUACAUAGGGUAUUGAAGUGCAGCUGAUUCUUUGUAAUAGGAUGCUGAAUCAACUUCAUAAUUUGAUUUUAAAGGAGCAAGGACUCUUAUGGGUCCUAGUGAUCCCCACUCUAAGCUCAUAUACCAUGAUGACAUGAUUUAUGAGAGUUGGAUUGAUUAUAGGUUCACUCUUAUGUAUAAGUGACCUGAGCUUAUAUGGUUUAACUCACUUAAGUUUAGUAGGGAAACCAUAUAAAUAUCCCCUUAGGGGUUAAGGUUUCAUAAUCACUUUUCAAAAAGUCAUCUUUCAUUUUUAGAGAAAGAAAGAGAGGUACGAGACCUUCAAAGUUUUCAAAGUUUUCAGAAAGUCUCAUGAUAAAGAGUUUAUUUUAAUAAAGGUUACCAAAAUUGAGAUAGAACCUAGGAUGGCGUUGUAAUGAUGGGAGUGUAAACUGAGUAAAACCUAGCAUGGUGUCACAAUGACAAGCGUCCAAAGAAACUAAGGAUAAACUAAGAUAAAAACUAGGAUGAUGUUGAAAUGACAAGAGUCCAAAGUAGCUAAGAAUAAGCUAGCUUAGAUAGAUCUUAGGAUAACGUUGUAAUGAUGAGAAUUCAAAGGAACUAAGGAUAAACUGAGAUAAAACCGAGGAUGACAUCGUAAUCAUGGGAGUCCAAAGGAGCUAAGCAUACACUUAGAUAGAACCUAGGAUGGCAUUGCAAUGAUGAGUUCAAAGGAACUAUGGAUAAACUGAGAUAGAACCUAUGAUGAUCUCGCAAUGAUGAGAAUCCAAGGGAACCAAGGAAAAAUCGAGAUAGAUCAACCUAGGAUGAUGUCACAAUGAUAGGAGUCCAAAUGAAUUGAGAUAGAGUCUAGGAUGACGUGGAAAUGAUGGGAGUCCAAAGGAGCUAAGAAUAAACUUAGAUAGAACUAGGAUGAAGUCAUAAUGAUGGGCAUCCAAAGGAACGAACCAUAAAUUGAGAUAAAGCCUAGGAUGACAUCAUAAAUAGAACAUAAAAUGGUGUCACAAUGAGAGGAAUACAAAGGAAAUAAGGAUAAAUUGAGAUAAAACCUAAGAUAACAUCAUAAUAAUAAGAGUCUAAAGGAACUAAGCAUAAAUAAAGAUAGAACAUAGGAUGGUGUCACAAUGAUGGGAAUCCAAAGGAGCUAAGUAAAAACUUAGAUAGAACUUAGGAUGACGUUGCAAUGACAAGAAUCCAAAGGAACUAAGGAUAAACUAAGAAAGAACCUAGGAUUGUGUCACAAUGACAAGAGUCCAAAGGAGCUAAGAAUAAAAUUAGGUAGAACCUACGUAAUGACGAGAGUGAAAAGGAAUUAAGGAUAAACUAAUAUAGAACCUAGGAUCGUGUCGCAACGACAAGAAUCCAAGGGAACCAAGGAUAAACUGACAUAGAAUCUAGAAUGGUAUCGUAAUGAAGAAGGCCAAAGGAACUAAGGAGAAAUUGAGAUAGAACUUAGAAUGACAUCACAAUGAUUGGAAUCUAAGGAAACUAAAGAUAAAUAGGGAUUGAAUAUAUUUUAACAUUGUUAAAGCAUUUUACUGUCAUUUUUAAACAUAAUUAUGAAAAAAAAACUUUUUUAAAAAAAAGUUCAUUAAAAGAAAAAUGUUAAUUUCACUAACAUUUAUCUAAUUAUUGAUGUCAAAAAUCAUAUGAAUAUAUGAGAUAAAUGAUAAAUAAAAAAAAGAGUAAUAAUAGUAAAUGUAAUUACUGGUAUUACUCAAAUUUAUGAUUAAAAGUUUUGCGGAUUAUAAAAUUUUUACAACUUUUUUAAAACAUUUAUUUAGUAAAUCUAAGAGUAAAUUUAUUGGAAGCUCUAAAAUUCAAUUCACUAUUUUGUCAAAAAUCUAGGUCUAAUUUACAGUCACAAAAUUAUCCUAAAGUCUCACCUGCAGCCAUAGCCCUACCACAGGUAAGCUUUUUUUUUUUAUAAAAAAAAAAAAAUUAACUCCUCCUCAUUCCAAAUAAAAUAAAUCUUUAAUGAUAUUCACAGGCCCCUCAAGGGUACAGCAGGAGCCGGCAUGAACCAAAUUCCACGUCCACCUUAUUCUUCUAAUCCAAGCCAACCAAUCAAGUCCAGCCAUGUUAUCCACCCACCAAGCUUCACACUUGGCAACUCUUACAUGGGCCCACUUCUCAAGCGUGUCUAUCAUCUGUACCUUACACGUUAUCUUUGCUGAGAUGGCAGACGACGUGAUCUUCGCAUAUUAUAAUAAUGGCGGAUUGUGGAUGGCGGCGGAGACUUGUUCAAUGAUCUCAUGCUGAUUUUGAAUGCUCUUUUUGGUGGAGGGUGAAAGUAACAAAUUCAGCACCAGCCGCCAGCUGCAAGCCCGAUCGUCCAUUUCGUCUUUUAAGGAAAUUAAUUCAUCAACUUUAAGAAUUUUUGUGUAGAUUUUAAACUCAUGAGAAGGACACAUUUCUGUAAUUACAGCAAUGUCUUUAGCGGAAGUUUAGAUAAAAUUAUGUUUGUAGUCUUAAUUAUAAAGCAAAAUUGAUUUUUUUUUAAAUCAAGAAGUUGUCGGAUUUUUGUAUUCUGAAAUUUGUUUGUUUAUUUGUUUUAUUUUUUAAAAAAAAUUAUCGGAUUUUCGUAUAAUGAGUAUAGAAUUAGUCUUGCAUAUGUCUCAGUCUAAUAGGACUUAUGAAAAGUAAUAUUUUUCUUACAGCAUUUUUAGGUAAGGGUGAUAGUGCAGCUGUAGACGUCACCCAUGUUGUGGUGGUGGCCAUUUUACAUAUAUGAACUGUAGAGUACCCCACCUGAAUUCCACUCAUUUUACAUAUUUUUCAAAUCAGCAGCAUAUGUUGAAAAUUUUUUUGUAUGCUUAACAAAAACUCAUAUAUAUUCUUCCUUCAUUUUGAUAACAUACACAAGAAUAAACAAUGAUUUUAACUUGAGGUCUUUGAGGAGGUCCUCCAACAAUCGUAAAAUAACAAUUCAAUAUCUUUACUACCUUUUAUUUGAUUAAUAAAACAUGACUCAUGAAUAACUUUUCCCAUCAUUUCACCUAGUUUGAAUCUGUACCAACGCUAUGGAUCACAACGGUCUCAAUGGUUAGGCCUGGCCCAAAGCCAAACAAGACACCCCAAUCCAAUCCUUCACCUGUCGUCAUUUUGCCUUCCUUGAGCGAUUUCUUUCUCAUCUCGUCCAAAAUAAAUAGGACACAUGCACUUGACAUGUUCCCAUAUUCACUUAGAAUAUGCCUUGUUGCUUUGAGUUUUUGUUUAUCUAAACCGAGUUUUGCUUCAACUGCGUCAAGAAUAGCUGGGCCACCUGGAUGAGCAAUCCAAAAUAAGGAAUUCCAAUCACUAAUACCAAUUGGGUCAAAAGCCUUAGUCAAACAAUUCUCAAUGUUUUCAGAUAUCAAGGUAGGCACAUUAGGCCACAAAUGAAAGGUGAGACCCACUUCACGUAAGUUGCCUGCAAUAGCACCUGCUGAAUUAGGAAUAAAUGUUUGGGCUGCUGAAACAAGUUGAAAGAGUGGCCGUUCAAUCGAGGUAUCUGGAUCUGAUCCAAUGAUUACAGCUGCAGACCCAUCACCGAAAAGGGCUUGGCCAACCAAAGAGUCCAAAGCAUCUUCGGAAGGACCACGAAAUGUAACAACAGUGAUCUCAGAGCACACCACAAGAACUCGUGCUCCUGCAUUAUUCUCUGCAAGAUCUUUAGCGGUUCGAAGGACAGUUCCACCUGCAUAACACCCUUGAUGGUACAACAUCACUCUUCUAACAGAUGGUUCGAGGCCUAAAAGAUUAGCGAGUUUAUAAUCUACACCAGGCAUUUCUACACCUGAGGUGGUACAAAAUACAAGGUGGGUGAUCUUCGAUUUAGGUUGACCCCACUCUUUAAGAGCCUUCAAUGCUGCUUCCUUACCAAGCUUGGGUACCUCAGUAGUGAUAAUCUCUUGGCGUAUGUUAAGAGAUGGAGCCAUAUAAGCACCAAUGUUUGGGUGCUCCUCAAGCAUUUCUUCGGUCAAAUGAAUGUAACGCUUCUUGAUCAUGGAUUUGUCACCUGUAUAUAAAUUAAAUAACAGUAAUAUGUAAGCUCAAGGCACACUAGUGAAACAAAAUCAAUUCAAUGGGUAGAUUGAUUGUUCAAGAUGAUCAAACAUUGUUCAAGUGAAUGUAAAAAGAUUCAUCCUAAUACAAUAUAAAAGCUUAUUUUUUAUUACAUCAAUUAAUAACGUGAUCCCAAGCGUUAUACCAUGUGAUUCAAAGAGCACCUGCUCAUACCAUCACUCACAGAUGCAUUGUAUUAAUUUAAAAUGAGUACACAGAAAGCUUGAAAAAGAUGUUUCAGUGGUCGUAGGUGAAUCAUAUGUAUACACAAUUAUAUGUAUAUGAAGGAUGUUAAAAUUAUACUUACAAAUGCGGUUGAACUUCUUCUUGAGCUCGGUCAUGUGCUCGCUUUUAGUGACCCGAAAAUAGUAAUCAGCGAAAUCAGACUGGUACAGACAGUUGUCCGGGGUAGCUGUGCCAAUGGCUAGAACGGUGGCCGGACCCUUGGCACGCUGGGCAUUUCUAAUUUCCUCCACAGACGCCAUGGAUAGUGUGUGAUGACUACUGAAAUGGAAGCUUCAAAGUUGAAGAAGGGAAGAGAAAUGAAAUUUUAGGAGCACAAGUGCUUGGAGCUGUCUGGCCAAAGUUGUGUCUUGAGGUUGGUAUUUAUAAUCACCACAAAUGCUGUCUCACCAACUCUCAUCCACUUCCAUGUAGGUAGGCGUGCAUUUGAAUAAUCCAGUGCCAUGGGGUUUGAUUUCCAACUUGGUAGGCUUCGGUUUUCAUUCUUUAUUUUAUUUUUCUGUCUUUCUUCUUCCUCUAAAACUCUUUUGGUCUUUUUAACCCACGUAAGGCGGUUGGAAGCUUACCCUUUUUGACUCCAAGUUGGUAGCAUCACUUUCAUAUCCCCCGAGUACUAUUUGACAAAAGACCCAAAAUUUUCACGUGCUGGGCCAGCUGCUGCCGGCUGGACCAAGCAUAAAUAUAGAUGUUGAACAAAUAAAUUUAUUGUUUAACAACAAUGAAGGUAAAAAUUAGUUACUAUUAACGAACAUAAAUAUUCGUUAAUUAAUGAGGAUAUCUGUUAUCAAAAUUAUUUUUAAAAGUUUUUAUAUUUGAUAUUAUUUAGUUUUUAAAAAAAAAAAAAAAAAUUCCUUAAUUUUGAAGGCAGAAGCUCACCCAUUUUGACUCCAAGCUGGUAGGGUCAUUUUCAUAUUCCCAAGUACAAUAAUAUUUGACCAUUGAGCUGGAAUUCUUUACUUGAUCUUCCACAUCAUGUUGGACCAAGCUAAUUAUCGGUAUUAAUACAGAAAUUUAGGAAAUAUGUAAUCUGGCAGAUUAUACAUUCAAGUCCUAAAUUAAUAUAUACCUUUUUGUCAAAGUUAUUUACAUCAGAACUUCUUCGAAAAAAGUUGAUAUCGAAUAUCACUUGAGAGAGAAAUAUGAUUGAUAAAAAAUAACACUUUCUAACUAACCUUCUAAAUUUUGAAUGAAAGUUGUUUUAGUGUAUUGGAAUUUGUUUAAAAAAAUAAAUAUUUAAUAUAUAUAUAUAUAUAUAUAUAUAUAAUCAAUGAACUCAAUAAACUUUUUGGUUUGACUUUCCAAUUUUUUCAACAAAAUGACAUAUUUUUUCAACAAAACGACAAAUAUAAGAAAAUCAAGAAUAAAAACGCAAGCAAGGAGGAAUAAUUUACGAAGUAUCUAAAAUUCAAUCCUCUAUCUAUUAUAGAGAAAACAAAGAGCGGAAAAGUAAUCCAAAAUGUAUCAAAGAUACUCCCUCUUUCUUUCCAUUAAAAGUGUAGUAACCAAUGUCUCAUAUGAUUUUGGUAGGGAUGCCAAUAAAAUAGUAGUUUCAUCUUCCUCAUCAAUGUUGACCUUUACGCUCAAUAAAUAGGUUAUACACUUAUUAAAUUUAUUUAUAUGAACAUCAAUUCCUUCAUUUAUCUUCAAACUCAUAUAAUUGUUAACUACAAAAAAAUUGAGUUUUGCCAACCCACUUAAGUUUACUUUUGUAAUGGAUUUAAGUUGUCAUAAAUUUCUAAGACACCUACUCAAUCCAUUGCAAAUUGCAUUACUCAUCGCAUAUAUAUGUAAUUUUUUUAUCAACAGUAAUUGCAAGUUGUUGAGUUAAAGACUGAUUAUGUAAGGACCUGUAUGGGAAAUGAUUGUGAUAUUUCAUAUUAGAUAGGAGAAAAAGUUUUCAGUAUUAUAUAUGUAUGAGUUCCUUUUAAUUUUGUGAAUACCUUUUAAAACUUGAGGCAUUUUAGGCUCAGAGUGAGCAAUAUCUUUAUUAUUAGGAACAUGUUGUUACAUAUUACUUGAAUUUUACAUUAAUCAUAAGGUUAUUUAAUAAUGUUAAAUUAAAAUUUAACUUUAAUAACUUCAAUAAAAAAUAAUUAAUUUUAUGACUUGAAUAUAUAAUCAACCUCAUCAUAGAUAUCAUAAAAUUCUGUAUUAAUAUCGAAUGGUUUGCUUGGCCCAGCACGUGAAAGACACUGGGUCUUUGACCUUGUAAGUCAAGAAUCCCAACUCAAUGGUCAAACAUUAUGGUACAUGGGGGGAUAUGAAAGUGGUCCUACCAGUGUGGAGAUAAAAAGGGUAAGCUUCUGGCUACAAGAUGUUUUUAUUUUUAUUUGUUUAUUUAUUUUAACAAAUAUAGCAAAUUUUAAAAAUAAUUUUCUAUUUUUAUGGAUAUUCUGCCGGUGGUGGUAGUUACCCAGGUUGCUGAGGUUGCUUCAAAUUACUCACAACUUUUAUCGCUCUUAUUUUCAAACAUAUAUAGAGAAAGCCAAAUAAACGUAAUCCAAUUGAAUACUUUCUCAGUUCCUACUUCCAGCGGAGGCAUAUAAGAACAACAGGUAUAGGGGAAGAAGAAAGACAAAAGCAAAAAUAAAUUAAUGAAUGAAAACGGCAGCCUACCAACUUGGACAUCAGAUCAUAUUUCACUGGAUUAUUCAAAUGCACAUCUACCCACAUACAAGUCCCCAUUCAUAUAUCAUCAAAUAUAAGCAAAGGAGAAACCAAUUCAAUGACAACUAGAGCUAUAAAAUCCAAUAUUUCUUUUAUUUACUUUUCAAUAAUGUUCAUAUGAACACAACAUUACAAUGUUUGAGGAAUCUUCAAGAUAAUAAAACAGUCUGAACUUGAAACUCAACCGUUUAAUUUGAGCUCACCAAGAGGGUCUAACAAUCACUAGAUUACAAUCUAAAUUUAGAGAAAAUAAUAAAAUAGUAUAAGAGUAUAAUUAGUUUAGGAGAUAAAUAACUUACUCCUAGUUGACAUAAUAGGACAUUGAAGGACCAUUCUCUUUUCCUUCACUUAAUUUGUAACCAUAGGAAUGCUAUGCAACACAACAGUUUCAAUAGUCAAGCCUGGUCCAAAACCGAAUAAUACUCCCCAAUCCAAUCCUUCACCUGUGGUGGCCUUCUCCCCCUUAUGGGAUUUCUUUCUCAUCUCAUCCAAAAUAAACAACACACAUGCACUUGACAUGUUUCCAUACUCACUUAGCACAUGCCUCGUUGCUUCAAGUUUCUUUUUAUCUAAAUUGAGUUUUGCUUCAACUGCAUCAAGAAUUGCAGGGCCACCUGGGUGAGCAAUCCAAAAUAACGAGUUCCAAUCGCUAAUACCAAGUGGGUCAAAAGCCUGAGUCAAACAUUUCUCUACGUUCUCAGAAAUUAAAGUGGGCACAUUGGGCCACAAAUGAAAGGUGAGUCCCACCUCACGUAAGUUUCCUGCAAUUGCACCUGCAGAAUUAGGAAUAAAUGUUUGGGCUGCUGAGACAAGCUGGAAGAGUGGUCGUUCAAUUGAGACAUCUGGAUCUGAUCCUACAAUUACAGCUGCAGACCCAUCACCAAAAAGGGCUUGGCCAACUAAAGAGUCCAAAGCAUCUUCGGAAGGGCCACGAAAUGUAACAACUGUGAUCUCAGAGCACACCACAAGAACUCUUGCUCCUGCAUUAUUCUCUGCAAGAUCCUUAGCUGUUCUAAGGACAGUUCCACCUGCAUAGCACCCUUGAUGGUACAACAUCACUCUUCUAACCGAUGUUUCGAGGCCUAAGAGAUUAGCGAGUUUAUAAUCUGCACCAGGCAUUUCUACACCCGAGGUGGUACAAAAUACAAGAUGGGUGAUCUUUGAUUUGGGUUGACCCCACUCCUUAAGAGCCUUCAAUGCUGCUUCCUUCCCAAGUUUGGGUACCUCAACAGUGAUAAUCUCUUGGCGUAUGUUAAGAGAUGGAGCCAUAUAAGCCCCAAUGUUUGGGUGCUCCUCAAGCAUUUCUUCCGUCAAAUGAAUAUAACGCUUCUUGAUCAUUGAUUUGUCACCUGUAAAUGAAAUAACAUGAACACAUUAGUUUUACCAAUCAACAAGUGAUAUAGAAUAUUGUUUAAGAUGAUCGACUUGCAUUUAACAGUGAAGCAAGUAUAAAAGGUUAUUCUUAAUUAUAGCUAGCAAUGCGAUAUAAUUAAUCAAAGAACAGCUCUUCAAGCCAUUACAGUCAGAUGAAAUGAAUAUUAAUUACUGAAGUAAAAUAAUUUUCAAGUUUUCUGUAGUAUUUUAUCUAAAAGCUAUAUUCUAGAAAGAUUGCAACAUUCAUUCCCUUGGAGGUGAGCCUCACCUAGUGUCAGUCACAUAUAUACAGAACUGUUAUGCAUGUAAGAAAUUAAUGCAUGAAUAUACUUACAUAUGCGAUUGAACUUCUUCUUCAACUCAGUCAUGUGCUCGCUCUUAGUGACCCUGAAAUAGUAAUCAGCAUAAUCAGACUGGUAGACACAGUGGUCGGGGGUAGCUGUGCCAAUGGCUAGGAUGGUGGCCGGACCCUUGGCACGUUGAGCAUUUCUGAUUUCCUCGACUGAAGCCAUUGAUGCCAGCUACGUACUCAAAUUGAAACUUGAGAUUAAGUUGAGGAAGGAAAGAGGAGUGCUUGGAGUCGGCUUGAGAAAGCUGGGUGCGAGUGUUGGGCUUUUAUAACCCGUGUCUCACCAACUCUCAUCCAUUGGCAGUCAAUGAUCAGUUGGCUUCAAAGUUGGUGUGCGUGAGUUUAUUUUUGGAUUCUCAGACACGUAUGCAUGUGUUAAUGCAUUUGUGUUGUUUUAUGUUCUUCACCUACCCAUAUAUGACGAGAGAGCAUUCAAUCGGGUUACGGCUUCUCAUUAUAACAUUUCUUUAUAUAUAGAGAUAAGGACUUGUCCAGCCUCUAACUGGAAAUCAAUCCCUUGUUCAUUUGACUUUUCCACUUGUGGGUGGCUGCUACCAACUUUCUUAUUGUUGAUGAUAUCAAAUUCAUUCAAAGUUGGAUUUCUAAAUUUGAAGUUAUAAUCUCAACAACUAAGAGACUAUUUUUCUUGUUCAGUAUUACAUCACAUGUCAUUUAACUUAUUCGAAAGGUAAUUCAACAAAUAUCUCAUUUUUAUUUUUUAAAUUGCUGGGCAUUCAACAAAGGUAAGACACUAUUUCGUGAUAUAAGUUGCUGGGCAUUCGUUUGAUUUUUUAAAUUCAUUUCAAGUUCAAAGAUUCCCUUUUUUAUUUUAAUUUUUUUUAACAUAAAUUUGAUUAAAAAUAUAUUCAUAUAUAGCAUUUUAGCAAUACUUCAUAGCAUUCCUAAUUAUAUUAAAGCAAUUUAAAGUAAAAUUCAUUCAAGGAAAACAAUAUAGCUAUUGAAAAUUAGACAAGUCCGUAAAACAUAUUUAAAUGUUAUAUGCAUUACUUCCCAAUAUAGCUAAGUGAUUAAUUGGAAGUAAUUUUGUUUUGAUCGCCACAUUCAAUCGUCACUUAGUCAUAUCAACUUAUGUACCAAUGAAGUCCUUAUAACCCAAUAAUAGAAAUUUGUUCUUCUUUAUUACUCUCUCUAUCUCUCUUUAAUUGGAGAAAUAGUGAUGUACCUCAUCUUAAAGCCGACUUAAUUUUAAAAAAGAGCACAGUAAUUAGUAAAAUUUUAUUAGUCCUAUAGACUAACCCUAAACAUUAAGUACCCUAAUGUUAAUUAAACUUAGAAAGGUAAUUUAUCCCAAUCCAAACUCAACAAGUAUUGAUCACUUUUGUAUAAAUAAAAAAUUGAAAAUCAGGGUCAAAAUUACCAACACAUAAGACCCAUUCUAUUGAUCACAAUUUUUUAUUUUUUAUUUUUUUAAAAAGAUCUUGAUUAAUGGAAAACUCAUAAUUUUAAAAAAUUUCCAAUAGGUGUUACAUGACCAAAAAAUUAUAGACUAAAAUAACUUUCAUUCCAAAUUUAAAAAUUUGGAAUCAUGAGCUUGGCCCAGCACGUGAAAGACAUUGGGUUUUUGUCAUUGCAAGUCAAGAAACCGAACUCAGUGGUCAACCAUUAUGGUACUUGGGGGAUAUGAAAGUGAUCCUAGCUACCAGCAUGGAGUCAAAAAGUGUGAGCUUCUGGCUUCAACAUGUUUCACCUACUUUGGUCCAAAAGGGCAAGCAUUCAACACCAUGCAAGUGGAUGAGAGUUGGUGGGACACAGCAUUUGUGGGUGAUUAUAAAUACCAACCUCAAGACACAACUUUGGCCAGCCACCUCUAAGCACCUGUGCUCCAAAGGUUUCACUUCUCUUUCCUUCUUCAACUUUUGAGUAGUCAUCACACCAUCAAUGGCGUCUGUGGACGAAAUUAGAAAUGCUCAGCGUGCCAAGGGUCCGGCCACCGUUCUAGCCAUUGGCACAGCUACACCGGACAACUGUCUGUAUCAGUCUGAUUUCGCUGAUUACUAUUUUCGGGUCACUAAGAGCGAGCACAUGACCGAGCUUAAGAAGAAGUUCAACCGCAUUUGUAAGUAUAAUUUUAACGUCCAUAACAUGCAUACAGUGAUGUAUACAUAUGAUAAUGCUUUUAUAUGGUACUCAGAUGAAUCUUUUUACACUCACUUUAACAAUGUUGAUCAUCUUGAACAACGAAUCUACAUAUUACUGAAUUAGUUUUGUUUUAAUUGCUAGUGUGCCUUGAGCUCAUAAAUUAGUAUCAUUCAAUUUAUACACAGGUGACAAAUCAAUGAUCAAGAAGCGUUAUAUUCAUUUGACGGAAGAAAUGCUUGAGGAGCACCCAAACAUUGGUGCUUAUAUGGCUCCAUCUCUUAACAUACGCCAAGAGAUUAUCACUACUGAGGUACCCAAGCUUGGUAAGGAAGCAGCAUUGAAGGCUCUAAAAGAGUGGGGUCAACCUAUAUCGAAGAUCACCCACCUUGUAUUUUGUACCACCUCGGGUGUAGAAAUGCCUGGUGCAGAUUAUAAACUUGCUAAUCUUUUAGGCCUCGAACCAUCCGUCAGAAGAGUGAUGUUGUACCAUCAAGGGUGCUAUGCAGGUGGAACUGUCCUUAGAACCGCUAAGGAUCUUGCGGAGAAUAAUGCAGGAGCACGAGUUCUUGUGGUAUGCUCUGAGAUCACUGUUGUUACAUUCCGUGGGCCUUCUGAAUCCGCUUUGGACUCUUUAGUUGGCCAAGCCCUUUUUGGUGAUGGGUCUGCAGCUAUGAUCAUUGGAUCAGAUCCAGAUAUCUCAAUUGAACGACCACUCUUUCAACUUGUCUCAGCUGCCCAAACAUUCAUCCCCAAUACCCAAGGUGCUAUUGCAGGCAACUUACGUGAAGUGGGUCUCACUUUUCAUUUAUGGCCUAAUGUGCCUACUUUAAUUUCUGAGAACAUAGAGAAAUGUUUGACUCAAGCUUUUGACCCACUUGGUAUUAGUGAUUGGAACUCGUUAUUUUGGAUUGCUCACCCAGGUGGCCCUGCAAUUCUUGACGCGGUUGAAGCAAAACUCAGUUUAGAUAAGCAAAAACUCAAUGCAACAAGGCAUAUUCUAAGUGAAUAUGGAAACAUGUCAAGUGCAUGUGUGUUGUUUAUCUUGGAUGAGAUGAGAAAGAAAUCGCUUAAGGAAGGAAAAACAACUACAGGCGAAGGAUUGGAUUGGGGUGUUUUGUUUGGCUUUGGACCAGGCCUAACCAUCGAGACUGUUGUGCUGCAUAGCAUUUGUAUGGAUUCAAACUAAGUCAAACAACAGAAAAAAUAAUUUGUGAGCCAUAGAAGAGAUGGUUUUAACUUCCUCAUAUACUUCAAGUUAAAACCAUGAGAGUCCAAGUUCCCACCAUUGUAGUACGCCGACCAUUCCUCAAAGUUUGUAGUCAUUGUUUAUUCUUAUGUAUGUUAUCAAAAUGUAAUAAAAAGAAGGAAUGGAUUUGAGCUUUGCUUAUGCAUGUAAUUAAGUACGAAAUUUUCAACAUAUGAAUUUUCCCAUACUGAUGUAGUUUGAGUUCUACUUGAACACCAACGUGUCUAAUUUUUUUUUAGAAAAUUAAGAUUAAAAGGAUGAACACUAACCUAAAAUUUGAAGAAUCCACCUUUCAUGACUCCUAUUAGACUAAAACAUAUACAAGACUAUUUCUAUAUUGAUAAAACUUUCUAUUAUUAUAAAUUUUUUUAUCAUAUUAUCAUAUUUGAAAAUGAGUUAUUCUUUCAUAAAACUAUCCUAUUAUUCUAUUAGCCUAAAGUUUUUUCAUAACAUAAAUUAAGUUAUAAACUGAGUUGUUCUUUCAUAACCAAUCUAACAAGUCAUUUGGAAAUAGUUUUAUUUUUUAUUUUAUUUAAAAAAGAAAUAAUGUUUUUAAACAUUUUAAAUAAAUUAAUAUGUUUAUUUGUGUAUUCUUAUCCUUUUCAUAUCCUCAAAAUAAUUUUUGAAAUAAAAAGUUGAUUAACAUAAUUGUUUUCCAAGAAUUAAAAAAAAAAUCUUUAUAAUAAGAAUAAAAACAUGAUUUCAUGUCAACUUAACUUUGAAAAAUCGUCUAUUAACAUAAUUGUUUUCCAAGAAUUCGGAAUUCAAGUUGAGUCUAGCUUCCUUAUUAAUUAAUCCUACAAAAUAUUUAAACAAUAAAAAAUGCUUUGGUCAACAAAAAAAAUAAAAAUAUGGGUCAAAUGAAACUUUAAUUAUUCAUCAUAUUGAGACCAACCAGUAUGAGAGAUUUAUCCCUUUUCUUGGCGACUUCGGACGAAGCAAACAUGUACCGAAUUUAGAAAAAAAUAAUGCCGCAAUUAUAGAAUGUUGUGUUAUUGUUGACUUCUCCUUCUCAUUAGUUUAAAAUAUAAUCUAAAAAUGACGAUCUGCUUGCUUGCAGUUGCAGGCCGAGGCUGAAUUCAUAUAAUCACCCCCUCCAUUGGAACCAAAAAGCAAAUUCAAAAGCCAUGGUCUCAUAAACUUCCACACACUUCUUUAGGAAGCCAGCUUCCUGCAGUAGUCCGCAUAAAAUUAUACCUCUCUUUUCUUUAUUGGGCUAUGUUUUGUCCAGCCCAUGAGCCCAUAUAUUAGACUAUUUUAUAUUUCGGUAUUCCUUAAACCCAAAUUUAGAUAUAUAAAUACCAUUAGAUCUUUGAUAUUACGAGUGAGAAUGGAGAUUUGAUUGAGAAAAGAAAAGAAAAUUAGGGUUGUUUUUUCGACACUGUUAUGGGGCUCAAGGUGAAGUUACAGGUUCUUUCAUUAACCUUUUGGAAAGUUCCUAUGGUAUGUUUUCUUCCUAAUUUUUUUUUUCAUGUUUCCUAGGGUGAUGGAUUCCCACCUCAAGCAUUGAGAUAUUUAUAUAAGCUUUCAAGGUGAAGAAACCUAAGAACUUAAUUAUUGUAUCCCUAUUUAUUGAAGUGGAAGAUAUUUUCUCCGUGGUUUUUUACCUCAAUUUGGAGGGGUUUUCCAUGUUGUAUUUGAUGUCCUCUUUUUGGUUGAAUAUUCUUGAUUAUCAUUUUUUAUUCUUGUUAGGUUGUUAUUAUUGUUGAGGGGUGGUUAUUAUUGUUGAGUGGUGGUUAUUAUUGUGGAAGAAUCUUUUAACCUUGAUAGGUGAAUACUCUAGAUCUCUUCUUUUAUCUUCCCAACAAGUGGUAUCAGAGCCUAGUUGUGGGAACGUUUAUUUUUGAAAAUUAUGGAGAUAGAAGGGAACUGAACCUACAUGAUAAAACUUAACAAUUCAAAUAGGGCUAUGUGGAAGUCCAUGAUGGAAUAUUUUCUCACCAUCAAAGAUUUGUUAGAUACUGUUAAGGGUGAAACAUCAAGACACAAAGAUAUUUCUGAUUUGGAAUGGAAAAAAAUGAAUAAAAAGGCAAUUACCUAUAUUAGGUAAUGGAUUGACACAUCCUCACGCAACCAUGUGGAAAAGGAAACAAAUGCCUAUAAUCUCUGGAAGAAAUUGAAAUUAGUGAACAUGAAGUUAAAGGAAGUAACAUUAAUGACAAGUCACUUGAAUUCUUUUCAGAGUAUUGUUAAUUAAUUGGUUGCUAUGAAAAUGGUUAUGGAUGAUGAGAUGCAAGCAUCUUUGUUGUUGUAUUCAUUUCUAGAUAGUUGGGAAACUUUUGUUGUGACUAUUAGCAACUCUGUUCCGAAUGGUGCAUUGUCUAUAGAGCUUGUGAAAGGAAAUUUGUUCAAUAAAGAGACAAGAAGGAAGGCUUAUGACAUAGAAAAGGCACAGGCCCUCGUCACAGGAAGUAGAGGAAGAAACAAGAAUAAAUGACAGAAAGGUCAUGACAAGUUUGAGGGAAGGUCCCAAUCCAGAGAUAAAAUCAAAUGUUUUCAUUGUGGAAAAGAGGGGCAUAUGAAAAGGAAUUGUCAAAUUUGGAAAAGGAAACAAAAUGAACAGAAUCAGGAAAAAGAUGACAAGAAUACCACAACCCCUAUAUCAAACAAUGAUGAAGUUUUAGUGCUCUCAAAUGAGUGUUUGCAUGUAGAUGAGAAAGGAGUUGAGUAGAUUGUAGACACUAUAGCCUUCUACCAUACUACUCCUCACUUGGAGUUGUUUUUUGAUUGUAGAGUUGAAGAGUUUGGCACAAUCAAGAUGGGAAACUCUAGUCACUCCAAGAUUGUAGGAAUGGGUGAUGUUUGCUUUGAAACCAAUAUGGGGCAUAAGUUGACAUUGAAAGAUGUAAGUCAUGUUCCAGAUUUACGCUUUAAUCUAAUGUCAAGUUUUGUCUUGGAAAAUCAAGGUUAUGAAAAUCACUUUGGCAAAGGCAAAUGGAAGCUCACUAAGGGCCCUUGGUUGUUGCAAAAAGAGAAACAUGUUGCACUUUGUACAAAACCUAAGGAAAAGUUUGUAAUGAUGAGUUAUAUGCUCUAGAGGCUACUUCCUUGAAGUUGUGGCAUAAAAGGUUCAUAUGAGUGAGAAAGGAUUGCAAGUUUUGGCAAGGAAGUUCUUAAUUCCUUUGGCCAAAAAAUGAAUCCUUGUCUUCUUGUGAUCAUUGUUUGGUUAGAAAACAACAUAGUGUUUCCUUUAGUAGCAUAUCUAAAAAGAAUUUAAAGAAGUUGGAGUUGGUAUACUCUGAUGUUAGUGGCCCCAUGGAAAUGGAAACUCUUAGAGGAAACAAACACUGUCAUUUUUAUUGAUGAUGCUACCAGGAAGGUAUGAAUUUAUUUGCUCAUAUCAAAUGAUUAAGUCUUUCAGUAUUUUCUAUAGUUUCAAGCCAUGGUUGAAAAAGCGACUAGAAGGAAAUUGAAGUGUAUCAGGAUUGAUAAUAGAAGUGAGUACACCUCAAGGGAGUUUGAAACUUACUGCACUAAGAAUGGUAUAAGUCAUGAAAAAACAAUUCCUCGCACUCCAUAGCAUAAUGGUGUGGCUGAAAGAAUGAAUCGCACCAUCAUUGAGAGGGUUAAGUGUAUGCUAAAGAUUAUAAAGUUGUCUAAGGCAUUUUGGGGUGAAGCUGCUCAAACUGCCUACUAUUUGAUAAAUAGAUCUCCAUCAAGUCCAUUGAACUUUGAGGUUCUAGAGAAGGCAUGGACAAGAAAAGAGGUUUUCUAUUCCCACUUAAGGGUCUCUCUGAAUGUAAAACUUUUGUGCAUGUUCCCAAAGAACAGAUAUCCAAACUUGAUGAUAAGGCAGUUCCACAUGUCUUUGUUAGGUAUGGUGAUGAAGAGUUUAGAUUCAAAUUGUAGGAUCCAACCAAGAAGAAAUUGGUGAGAAGUAGAGAUGUGGUCUUUUAAGAGAAUUGAACGUUGGGAGAUUUUGACAAAGCUAAUCAAUCUAAAGGUACAAGUGACGACUUCAUUCAGUUGGUACCUAUUCCUCUAUUAUUAAAGCAACCCAAAAAUGAACAAAAAAAAAAAGGAAAUUGAUGAGCUACCAAGAGACGAUAGUACUAGUGACAUACAUGCAUAGGAGCUAGUUGAGCAUGAUGAGUAGGAGGAACAGUCACUUCAUCAGGAGGAUUUGGUAACCUAGGCUAGAAGGUCUACUAAAGAGCAUCAUCCCUCUACUAGAUGUCCCUCUUCUGAGUACAUGUUAGUAAUUGAUGAGGGGAAGCCACAGAGUUUUCAAGAAGCUAUGCAAGAUGAGAUGGAUUCCUUGCAGAAAAAUGAAAACUAUGAGUUGGUACAACUUCCUAAAGGAAGAAAAUCAUUGAAAAACAAAUGGGUGUUCAAGUAGUUGAGGGAUAUGGUUGAAGAAAAUGUAGCUAAGUUGAAGAAGGUUCACAUAAACAAAAAUGCCUCAAACAUGUUGACAAAGUUUGUUCCCAAGCAAAAUCUUCAAUUGUACAUUGGGAUAGUAGGUUUGAGCUCCAUGUGAUGGAGUUAUAGAUUGACAUUCCUCCUCCAUGUGGUGGAGAGGGAGAUUGUUAAGCUAUGUUUGUCCAACCCAUGAGCCCAUAUAAUAGGCUAUUUUAUAUUUGGGUAUUCCCUGAGACCAAAUAUAGGUAUAUAAAUAGCAUUAGGUCUUUGGUAUUAUGAGUGAGAAGGGAGAUUUGAUUGAGAAAAAAAAAAAUAGGAUUGUUUUCUGGGCACUAUUCUAGGGCUCAAGGUGAAGUCACAAGUUCUUUCAUCAACCUUUUAGGCAAGUCUCUGUGGUAUGUUUUCUCCUUGAUUUCUUUUUGUUUAUAUUUCCUGGGGUGAUGGAUUCCCGCCUCAAGUAUUGAGAUAUUUUUAUAAGUUUUCAAGGUGAAAAAACCUAAGGACUUAAUAUUGUAUCCUCAUUUAUUGAAGUGGAAGAAAUUUUUUCCAUGGUUUUUUACCUCAAUUUGGAGGGUUUUUCAUAUUAUAUUUGGUGUCCUCUUUUUGGUUGAAUGUUCUUGCUUAUCAUUCUUGAUUCUUGUUAGGUUGUUAUUAUCGUUGAGGGGUGGUUAUUAUUAUUGAGUGGUGGUUAUUAUUGUGGAGAAAUCUUUUAACCUUGGCAAGAGAAUAUUCUAGAUCUCUCCUUUUAUCUUCCCAACAUUCUUUUAUCACUUUUAAUCUUGAAAUAUCUUAGUAUGUAGUCAUCAACGGAUUUGUGGAGGAGAUUAGAAUGGAUCAAUGUGCCACAAUGGAUAACACUAAUUACUAUUUUGGGGUCCUUAAGAGCAAGCAUAUGACUAAAUUAAAAAUGUCUUGAGUAUCUCAUCUUGUAUUUCGUAGAAUCUUGAUGAUGAAAUGCCUCAAACUAUCUACUAGAAUAGUGAUGUUGUAUUGUAUCAUCAAUGUUCUCAUGGAGCUGAAAUUGUCCUUUCACAUGGCUAAAGAUCUUUUAAAGAAUAAUGUAAGAGCAGGAAUGUACACAUGAGGCUUUCUUGAAGAAAAACUAGUGGUCAUAUUGAAAAUUUAUUGAUUUAGAUAAUAUUUAGGUUAUGAUCUCUAGUUGGUUAUCUGAUUCUUUUGAUCAUAAGAAAUUAACUUGACUUGGGUCUUAACUCAGUUUGGACCUUAAUGUGUCUUAGCCUAGGCUUAGACUUUAUCAAGUCUUAGGUAUGAGUUUUGAUUUUGGUGUGUCUUCAACUUGGGUUUGGACCUUGGUGUGUCUUAGGCAAUGCUUAGACCUUGGUUUCAUUGACAUUCAUAAAAGGCAUAAAUGUUUUAUCUUGGAUUAAGUAUGCCUCGAAUUUGAUCGUUGAAGCUCCAAACUUGAUCUUUGAAUCUACAAACCAACAAUUAAGAGUUUCGAACUUGGUUUUAAAAUCUUUGAAUUAAGGCUUUGAUAAACUUGUUAAGUCUUGAAGGGAAGCUUUCUCUAAUUCUUCUCAAGUGUGGAAGUCUUCCUAUUUUUCCAAUGUGAUUUUGAAAACUAAGGACAUAUUUAUUAGGAUUAUGAGAGACAUAUUUGCAUAGUUUUCCUUAUUCCUUGUAAAUAUUAUUCCUUAAUUAAAAUUAAUAUUUAGGAUGAUUUCGAGGUAUACUUAGACAGUUUUGACCCUUAAAAAAAAAUAUUAUGUUUAAUUAAAAACUAAUAUUUAGGAAACUUGGUAUAUUUCAUGAUGUCCUAUUUUCGUAGAGUUCUUUGGGAAGACUAGCCAACAAGUCUCAUCAUCCCCUUCACCUCCUUUGCAGAUCCAUGAGGACACUCUUUGUCACUCUAGAGUUCUUUUGAUUUAAUGACCUUCCAACUUCUUGUUUCCAUAAGGAGUGCAGGGAGGUAUAUUACUCAUGAUUCCGUGAGCAUUGAGUUGAGGUUAAGUAUGAGCUCUCCUUACCUUCCUUCUGAGACACUAAGGUCCCACAUAUUUUUGAGAGCAUAAAUGGGAUUCUCAAAAUCUCUUGAUGGGGGGCUGGCUAUUGCAAUUAUGUUUGGAUGUUCUAUGCUAAUAACCAUUUUAGCUCAUUAGACAUUUCUUUUAGAGUUAACAUAUAUGGGAUAACUAUCUUGGUUUCUGCUCAUUUUAUUCCACGAGCAUUAAGUCUUCAACCUUUCUUAGAGACGUUUCCACACUUCACUCCAAAUGGAUGUUUGAUCCUAUGGUUAGUCAUGGGAUCUUUCUUAUGUUUCCAUGUUUAUCAUUGCUAGUAAGCAUGGAUCUUCACCAUGUUUUUCAGUUACAACUUUUACCCUUUUCCAGUAUGACCCACUUACAAUGCGCCACUACAAAUCAAUCAUUAUGUUAUUUUUAGUCAUCACAUUGAUGUGGCUCAUUUUAUUAUGGACAUAUGGUAUCAUAUCGAGGGUCAUCUUGCUCAUGGAGUUUACCACUGGUAAUCACCAUCAGAAAUAUUUUGGUUGACGUCAGGUUUGAUUUUUACCAUAAUCUCUGGGUGUUAGAUUAGAGACCUUCCACAGAUGAAAGACUCGAGUCUAAGGACAUGAACCAUUAGGAAACUAUCAUUUUUCGAUAGCAGUUGAAAUUGGGUUGGUUGGGGCAGCCAUUGGUUGGUGAGGACUAUGGACUGUUGACCCCCUCUAACUUGACUUUGAAAGAGCUUCCUUAAUUAAAUAAUUAAUUUAAUAUUUAAAACUAUUUAAUUUCUUUGAACUCUUUCUAUGAUCUCUGGAAAUAAUAUUUUAUUUAAUUUUUUAUAUGUUGUAGCUGAUCAUUUCAAAUCAGUUUCCAAGAAUAUAUAUAUCUCUUUUGAUAAUAUAUUUUGGUGUUUUAGAAAAAUGUUAUGGUGAUAUAUUUUGCUGCUUUAGAAAAAUGUGGUAUGAAAUGGUCCAAGCAACAAGGAUAAACUUUUUAACCGAGUCGUCGCUCUUUAGCGGGAGUUGGUUUGUCAUACAAAUAAUGUAUACUCAAGCCUUCAAAUAUCAGCAAACGAGAAAGCAAUUCAAUACCAACUAGAGCUAUCAAAUCCAAUAUUUCUUUUAUUUACUUUUCAAUAAUAUCCAUGUGAACACAACACUACAAUGUUUGAGGAAUUUUCAAGAUAAUGAACGAGUGAGAUAUUGAAACUCAUCUUUUAAAUUUGGGCUCACGAAGAUAGGCUAAUAAUGACUCGAUUAGAAUCAAAAUUUGGCAAAAGCAAUGAAAUUCUAUAAGAGUAUUUAUUAUCAAUAUCAGAGAUAAAUACCUUUAUUGACUUCUAUUUGAUACAAUACAACAUUAAAGGUACCAUUCUCAUUCACUUAAUUUGUAACAGUAGGAAUGCUAUGCAACACAACAGUUUCAAUAGUUAAGCCCGACCCAAAACCAAAUAAUACUUCCCAAUCUAAUCCUUCACCAGUGGUGCCCUUUUCCCCCUUUAGGGAUUUCUUUCUCAUCUCAUCCAAAAUAAACAACAUACAUGCACUAGACAUAUUACCGUACUCACUUAACACGUGCCUUGUUGCUUUAAGUUUCUUUUUCUCUAAAUUGAGUUUUGCUUCAACUGCAUCAAGAAUUGUAAGGCCACCAAGAUGGGCAAUCCAAAAUAACGAGUUCCAAUCGCUAAUACCAAGUGGGUCAAAAGUCUGAGUUAAGCAUUUUUCUAUGUUCUCAUAAAUCAAAGUAGGCACAUUAGGCCACAAAUGAAAGGUGAGUCCAAUCUCAUGUAAGUUACCCGCAAUAGCACCUUGUGAAUUAGGAUUUAAAUGUUUGAGCUGCUGAGAUGAGUUGGAAGAGUGGUCAUUCAAUUGAGAUGUCUGGAUCUGAUCUAAUAAUCACAGUUGCAGACCCAUUACUGAAAAGGGCUUAGGCAACUAAAGAGUCCGAAGCGGUUUCAAAAGGCCCAUGGAAUGUAAUAACAAUGAUCUCAGAGCCCACCACAAGAACUCGUGCCUCUGUGUUAUUCUCUACAAGAUCUUUAGCAGUUCAAAGAACAGUCCCACCUGCAUAGUAGCCUUGAUGUUACAACAUAACUCUUCUAACUGAAGUAUCAAGACCCAAGAGAUUAGCAAGUUUGUAAUCAGCACCAGGCAUUUCUACACCUGAGGUUGUACAAAAUACAAGGUGGGUGAUCUUGGACUUUGGCUGACCCCAAUCUUUAAGUGCCUUCAAUGCUACUUCCUUACCAAGCUUGGGUACCUCAACAAUGAUGAUCUCCUGCCGUAUAUUAAGAGAUGGGGCCAUGUAGACACCAAUAUUGGGUGCUCUUCAAGCAUUUUUUCAGUCAAAUGAAUGUAGUGCUUCUUGAUUAUUGAUUUUUCACCUGUAAAUAAAAUAACAUGAACACAUUAGCUUUACCAAUCAAUAAGUCAUAUAGUAUAUUGCUCAAGAUGAUCAACAUGCAUUUAACAUUGAAACAAGCAUAAAAGGUUAUUCUUAAUUAUAUCAAAAAUUAUUAAUGUGUUUCUCAACAUUGCCACAUGAUUCAAAGAACAGCUCUUCAAGCCAUUAUAGUCAGAUGCACGGAAUAUUGGUGACUGGAGUAAAAUGAUUUUCAAGUUUCCCGAAGUAUUUUAUCUAAAAGUUAAACUAUUAAAACUUGAAACAUUCAUUUCACUUGGAGGUGAGCCUCACAUAAUAGCACACUCGUAUAUGUAUAGAAGAGUUAUGCAUGUAAGAAUUCAUGCCUGAAUAUAUAUAUACUUACAUAUGCGAUUGAACUUCUUCUUCAACUCAGUCAAUUGCUCGCUCUUAGUGACCCUGAAAUAGUAAUCAGCAUAAUCAGACUGGUAGACACAGUUUUCAGGAGUAGCUGUGCCAAUGGCUAGGAUGGUGGACGGACCCUUGGCACAUUGAGCGUUUCUGAUUUUCUCAACUGAAGCCAUUGAUGCAGAUUAAGUUGAGGAAGGAAAGAGAAGAGUGCUUGGAGCUGGGUUGAGAAAGUUGGGUGUGAGUGUUAGGUAUUUAUAAGCUGUGUCACACCAAACCUAAUCCAUUGGCAGUCAAUGAUCAAUUGGCUUCAAAGCUUGCGUGCGUGAGUUUAUUUUUGGAUUUUCAGACAUGUAUGCAUGUGUUAAUGUAUUUGUGUUGUUUUCUGUUCUUCAGCUACCCAUAUAUAAUGAAUGCAUCCAUAGGAAUUGAGAGAGGAUUCAAUCAGGGUUCCGGCUUCUCAUUGUAACAUUUUUUAUAUAUAGAGAUAAAGAGUUUUCCAGCCUCUCAAAUGGAAAUUAAUACAUUGUUCAUUUGACUUUUCCACGUGUGGGUAGCUGCUACCAGCUUUCUUAUGGUUGAUGAUAUCAAACUCAUUCAAAGUUGGAUUUCAAAAUUUGAAGUAAUAAUCUCCACAACCCAAUACCUAAUACACUAUCUUUCUUCUCCAGGAUAACAUCACAUGUCAUUUAACCUACUCACGAGUGUGUUUCUGCUGUACAAUUAAGAGAGUAAAAUGAGGUUAAAUCCAUUCUAUGUAAACUCAAAUUGGAUUGAGCUUUAGCAGAAGUUUUAGUGUAAAUAUAUUAAUAGAAGAAAAUAAAAUGAAGUGAUCCACAUACAAAGUUAUAUAAUGUUUUAUAAUGGUGGUUGGAUUAACAUGCACCAUGGAUGAGAAAUAAUAUUUCAUUAUAUGAUAUAAAAUAUUAUAAAGGAUAAAAAUAUAUACAAUUAUUGAAUAAUAAAAUAUUUUAUGUUUUUUUUCCUUGUAUCUUCACCUUGAACCAUGAACCGUUUUGUUCCACCGAGUGUCUUCCAGUCUUCCUUGCAUUUAUACCUUGAACUACAAGAAGUUUUGCUCUACUAGGUAUCUUUUACUCUUUCUCAUAUUUUUAUCCAUCACACAGUCUUCAUAAGCUCAUUUUUUAUUUUUAUUUUUGUAACAUUUCCCCCUCAUAAUCUAGAAUAUUUAUUAAGAUAUAGGAACUAGCAUUCUUUAUUCUAUGAAGCAUUUAAAUGCCAUCAUGCAUGAAUUUAGAAAAUAUUUUUUAUAAAAAGAAAUAUAUUCCAAUUAGGAAUUUGAGAUACUUCCCAACCUUAACAAGCUUUCAAAUACCAACAAAUGAGAAACCAACUCAAUACCCGCUAAAGCUAUCAAAUAAUCCAUUCUUUCUUUUAUUUACUUUUAAAUAAGAUUCAUAUGAACACAACAUUAAUAUAAUGUUUGAGGAAUCCUUAAGAUAAUGAAACAUUGAGAACUUCAAACUCAUCCUUUUAGUUUGAGCUCAUCACAAAGAAAGUUUAACAAUGACUUGAGGUAAUAAAAUACUAUAAGAGUAUUAUCAAUUUUGGAGAUAAAUACCAUUAUUAACUCCUAUUUGAUACAAUACAACAUUAAAGGGAGGAUGACCAUUCUCCUUUACUUCACUUAAUUUGUUACCAUUGGAAUGCUAUGUAGUACAACAGUUUCGAUGGUCAAGCCUGGCCCAAAACCGAAUAGUACCUCCCAAUCCAAUCCUUCACUUGUGGUGUCUUUUUCCCCUUUUAGGGAUUUCUUUCUCAUCUCAUCCAAAAUAAACAACACACUUGCACUAGACAUGUUACCAUACUCACUUAACACGUGCCUUGUUGCUUCAAGUUUCUUUUUCUCUAAAUUAAGUUUUGCUUCAACUGCAUCAAGAAUUGUAGGGCCACCAGGGUGAGUAAUCCAAAAUAACAAGUUCCAAUCGCUAAUACCAAGUGGGUCAAAAGCCUGACUCAAACAUUUCUCUAUGUUCUCGGAAAUCAAAAUAGGCACAUUAGGCCACAAGUGAAAGGUGAGUCCCACCUCACGUAAGUUACCUGCAAUAGCACCUGCUGAAUUAGGAAUAAACGCUUGGGCUUAUACUUGUUAAUCGCUUAUUGGGAUUUCUUUUUAUAGUUAGUAGGUCUUGUUGUUUACACUACCUCCAUGGCACGUUUCCAAUUGGGAUCUAAAAGAGCCUUUUUUAUAGUCAGUACGUUCCAAGACACCUUAUAGUGCUGGAUGCUUUUUCCCUAUUCGGUUUACCCUUUAGAAGAAGGUAGUGAGGUUUGGGUGAGUGAGGGUAGCAAGAACUGAUUGAAAAAUAUAUAUAUAUAUAUAUAUAUAUAUAUAUAUAUAAAAUUAAGGGAAGGGGAGGAUAAUAAUUAGUCUCAUUUAGCCAGCAAAAACUGAAUGAAGAAAAAUAAAAAUAUAAUAAUUUGUUUCAUUUAUGCUAGAAAGAUGAGGGAGAGAUAAUGCUAUGAAAAAAGAAAAGAUCAUAUCAGGGGGUUGGAGGGUUCAAAUCCAUACAACUCACUCUUGUGUGAUGAACAACAAAAUUUUGGAGAAAUUUUUACUAAUUGUGUGAUGAACAACAUGAUAAUUGUCUUGUCAUGCAUCUCAUCUUGCAAAUAAUUCCAAUAGGAAACUACCAUCCGUCGUCGGUAGCAUUGACAUUUGGUUGGUUGGGGCAGCAUUGGUUGGUGAGUUUUAAUUUCUUAAAACUGUUUCUAUAAUCCAUGUAAACGUAUUUUAUUUAGGUUAUGUGUAGUUUGUCAAAAGUUUGAGGUAGAACGUUAAGGAAAUAAAAUAAAGAGAAACGGUAUGAAGAAAAAAAUAAAAAUAAAUAAAUAAAUAAGUUUAAAAUUAAUAAAUAUUUUUAUCUAUUACUUUAAAUUUAUUUUUCUUAUUUUAACUCAAUAAAAAAUAUUAAAAUAUAUAAGUUUUUAAUUAAUUUAAUUAUAUUUUAUAUGGUAAAAUCAAAUUUGAGAAAAUUAUUUUUCUUAAUAGCUUUUUCUUUCCUUAAUACUUUCUCAAAUCCAAAUACAACUUUCAUUUUUUAAAAAAAAAACUCUAUAUUUUAAAUCAUUUCUAAUAAACAACAUAGAAAUUAAUGUAUUAGAAAUAUGUAUAUCCCUUUCCUAUUGCAUCUUGGUAAAAAUAUUCCAAUUUUGCUAUUUUAGCAUGCAUAUUUUGCUUCACUUCCUAUGGACAAAGUAUGAACAAUUUAUUGUAACUUCUCCAAAAAAAAUUUAUUAGGUAAAUGGACUUUGAAUAAAGUAAGAUUUAAUAUAUUAAUUAGAUUCAAUAUUGAGUCAAUUAAUAUCAUAUUUUCCUCUUUUUAACUUCAAAAACAUAAAAAAAUAAAAAUAAAAAUGGAAUAUAAAACAUACAUUGUAGCUGAUCUUUUCAAAACUGUUUCCAAAGAUAUAUUAUGAUAAUAUAUUUUGGGGUUUUAGAAAAAUGUUUUGGUGAUAUAUUUUGCUAUUCUAGAAAAAUGUGGAGUGAAAUCAUCCAUGCAAAGAGAAUGAACUUUGUAACUGAGCCACUGCUCUUCAGCAGGAGUGUGUUUCUGUUAUACAAUUAAUAGAGUAAAAUGAGGUUAAUUCCAUUCUCUGUGUACUCAAAUUGAAUUGAGCUUUAUAUGAUUUUACUGUGGGGCAAGCCAAAGUUUUAAUUUAAUGUAAACAUAUUACUAGAAGAAAAUAAAAUGAAGUCAUCCACAUAUUAAAUUAUAUGAUGUUUUAACGUGGUGGUUCAAUUAACCAUGCACACCUUCAUGGUUGAGAAAUAAUUUUUCAUUAUACAAUAUAAAUUAUUAUAGAGGAUAAAAACAUAAACAAUUCUUGGGUUAUGAAAUGUUCUAUGUUUUCUCAUUCCUUAUAUUCUCACCUUGAACCACAAAUCAUUUUAUUCCAUCAAGUGUCUUCCACUCUUCCUCACAUCCCUAAAUUGCGAGAAGUAUUACUCUACUGGGUAUCUCUCACUCUUUCUCACAUUUUUAUCUAUCACAUUUAAUCUUCACAAACUCAUCUUUUUUAUAACAUUUUCCCCUCAUGAUUUAGAAUAUUUAUUAAGAUAUUCCUACUAACAUUCCUUAUUCUACAAGGCAUCUAAAUAUAUCACAUAUGAAUUUAGAAAAUAUUUUAUAUAAUAUUUUUUAUAAAAAGAAAUAUUUUUCAAUUAAGAUCAAAUUUGAGACACUUCCCAACAUUUACAAGCUUUCAAAUACCAACAAAUGAGAAAUCAACUCAAUGCCAACUAAAGCUAUCAAAUAAACCAUUAUUUCUUUUAUUUGCUUUUAAAUAAGAUUCACAUGAACACAACAUCAAUACAAUGUUUGAGGAAUAUUUAAGAUAAUGAAACACUGAGAACUUCAAACUCAUCCUUUUAGUUUGAGCUCAUCACAAAGAAAGUCUAACAAUGACUCAAGUACAAAUCCAAAUUUAGCAAAGUAAUAAAAUACUAUAAGAGUAUUAUCAAUUUCGGAGAUAAAUACCUUUGCUAACUCCUAUUUGAUACAUUACGCCAUUGAAGGGUCAACCAUUCUCUUUUAUUUCUCUUAAUUUGUAACUGGAGGAACGCUAUGCAGCACAACAGUUUCGAUGGUCAAGCCCGGCCCAAAACCAAAUAAUACUCCCCAAUCCAAUCCUUCACCUGUGGUAGCCUUUUCCCCCUUCAAGGAUUUCUUUCUCAUCUCAUCCAGAAUAAACAACACACAUGCACUUGACAUGUUACCGUACUCACUUAACACAUGCCUAGUUGCUUCGAGUUUCUUUUUCUCUAAAUUGAGUUUUGCUUCAACUGCAUCGAGAAUUGCAGGGCCACCUGGGUGAGCAAUCCAAAAUAACGAGUUCCAAUCACUAAUACCAAGUGGGUCAAAAGCCUGGGUCAAGCAUUUCUCUAUGUUCUCAGAAAUCAAAGUAGGCACAUUGGGCCACAAAUGAAAGGUGAGCCCCACCUCACGUAAGUUUCCGGCAAUGGCUCCUGCUGAAUUAGGAAUAAAUGUUUGGGCUGCUGAAACAAGUUGGAAGAGUGGUCGUUCAAUCGAGACAUCUGGAUCUGAUCCAACAAUCACAGCAGAAGACCCAUCACCAAAAAGGGCUUGGCCAACUAAAGAGUCCAAAGCAUCUUCGGAAGGGCCACGGAAUGUAACAACAGUGAUCUCAGAGCACACCACAAGAACUCGUGCUCCUGCAUUAUUUUCUGCAAGAUCCUUAGCAGUUCGAAGGACAGUUCCACCUGCAUAGCACCCUUGAUGGUACAACAUCACCCUUCUAACGGAUGUUUCAAGACCUAAGAGAUUAGCGAGUUUGUAAUCUGCACCGGGCAUUUCUACACCGGAGGUUGUACAAAAUACAAGAUGGGUGAUCUUGGACUUUGGUUGGCCCCACUCUUUAAGAGCCUUCAAUGCUGCAUCCCUACCAAGUCUAGGUACCUCAGCAGUGAUAAUCUCUUGGCGUAUGUUAAGAGAUGGAGCCAUAUAAGCACCAAUGUUUGGGUGCUCCUCAAGCAUUUCUUCGGUCAAGUGAAUGUAACGCUUCUUGAUCAUUGAUUUGUCACCUGUAAAUGAAGUAACAUGAACACAUUAGUUUUACCAAUCGAGAAGUCAUAUAGUA